ensembl:antisense Kcnq1ot1 KCNQ1 overlapping transcript 1
AGGAGGAACAGUUGCCUCAGCACGUCUGCGCAGCUUUCCUUGCGGCGCCCCUCCGCGUGGUCUAUGAUGGUGCAUUUUGGUCCAGUCAGGCCCGGUGUGGUCGGCCUCAUUUUGGAUUACUUCGGUGGGCUUCUCCUCGGCGUGGUUACGGUCUAGUACACCUUAGUGUGCUUUUCUCUGCAUGGUCCUUCCCAGCGUGGCUCGUCUCAGCAGCGUGGUUUUCAUCCGUGUGAUCGUCCUCUGCAUGGUUUUUCACGGUGAGGUCAUAUCAGCCAGCCACCAGCCUCAGCAUAUUUGUCCACAGUUCUUUUGGAGCUGCCUCUGCUCGGAUCACUUGAGCACUACACCUCAGUCCCGACUAGCCAUCCUCAGUGUGCUUUGCUCAACGCGAUCCUCCUCAGUGUUUGUCCUGAGCCUAGACCUCCAUGGUGAGGUCUUAUCUUGUUUCGUCAUGGUGGUCGGCGAUAUGGUCCGAUCUGCCUCAGCAAUUGGGUCACUUCCGUGUGGAUCGUUUCAGCACGGAUCACUCCAGCGCGGUCGGCUGCCUUGGCGCGAUCCACUUGGCUUCUCAGCAUUUUUUUUUAGCCUGCUGGGUUCUCUCAGUUUUUCUUCAACACGCUUCUUUUCCCUCUGUGUGAUUCUACUUGGAGAGCUUUUCUGUUCAGCUUGGUUCCCAGCGCUUCUUUUUCUCGGCAUGGUUCUCCUAGGUAUGGUUUUUUUCUCAGCGCGGGUUUCUUCUCUGAGUCAGCACGGCACAAGUCGCAAGUCCGCGUGGCCGCGCUCAUCAUAGCCUCCCCCUCCUCGCGGCAAGCACUCACGGCCAGAAGCAGAGGUGAUUCGUGCCGCGCUUUCGCGGCUGGGCUCCAUCUUCGUUUUGCCGCAGUGGCUCCGUAUUCGUUUUGCAGUUACGGCUCGGUCCUCGUUUCACGGCCGGUCCUCGUUUCACGGCCGUGGCUCAGUUCUCGUAUUUUGCGUCCACGUCCCCAUCUUUGUGGCCCAGGCUUACAGAAGCAGGGGUGGUCUUGAGGCCCUUUGAGCCCCGAGGUCGGUCGAGUCCCAAGGUGAGUGGCCUAGGACACCGGCUCAGGCCUUCGGAUUCUAAACCCCGGGCCGAGUCAGAACGCACUGGAGCUGAAACCGAAUCGGGUCUGGAGACCCCUGAGCUUUGUAGCCCGGUGUGGCCAGCACCAAGGUAGUGAGUGGAGUACGUGUUGUUAUGUGGUAGCUGUUUUAAUGCUGAGAGUGAGGGGCUCCGUUCGGAAUGUUCGCGCAUGGUGGGGGAAGGGUAUCGUGGAACUGAGGCUGGGGAAGGCUGCUUAUUCGGAGUUUUGAACCGAGUUGUGAUCUAGCUCUUGGAUCCGAGUUGGGUGUGUGUAUGUGUGGGUCUACAGUGGUUCCGAGUCUAGAGUGGAGUCACGAUUGGAAUCGGGUAGAGAUUCGGGUCUGGAGCCGACUCGGAAUUCAGGUGUGGGGGAUUGGGAACUUGGGGUGGAGGCCGCAGUGGUUGCAGUGGGUUCUUAACCUUCCUUGUGCUUUGACCCUUUAAUACAGUUACUCAUGUUGUGGUGACCUCCAACCAUAAAAUUAAUUUCAUUGCUACCUCAUAACUGCAAUGUUGCUACUGUUAUGAGUCAUUAUGUAAAUACCUGUGUUUUCCGAUGGUCUUAGGCGAUCCCUAUGAAAGGGUUGUUCAAGCCUAAAGGGGUCACGACCCACACGUUGAGACCUGCAGAGUCAGAAUCAGGUCUGAAUUGGGGGAAUAGCAGAACUGGGAGUUACCUCCAGAUUUUCAGUUGGGAUUUGAUUCUUUUCUGUGGUUUUAAAUUGAGAUCCCAGAGGCUCAGGUCUCUGUUGGGGACCAGACUGAGGGUUUCUAGUUAUAUUCAGGACCUGACUGGGCAGUACAGUAAGAAUUAAAGUUGGUUUUGAGUGUGAGCAUAAUGGUCUGAGGUAGGGAUCAGGACUGAAGUAUAAAGAGUCUGGUUUUUAACAAGUGGGAAUCACAUUUUGAGACAUGGGGUCCCAUGUGGGUCAGAGUUGAUUUAAAGGACCAAGGCCAGGGCCCAAACCUUAGUCCUCCAUUUUGUUGUUCUUGUUGGUCACAUUCCCUUUUCUGUAAAAUGGGGAGGAGUGCUUUCCGCUGUAACCUUUCUGGGCAUAAAAGGGAGUAAGUAAUUCAUAGAGGUAAAAAUAGUCUUAUCUUAAAUGAUUAAAAAGUGUAAAAUAUUUCUCAAUAGUAAUAAGGACAAAUAAUAUGCAUUUAACAAUCUUUUCUCAUACCGUGUGCCCUUUGUUAGGCACUACCAAAAAGGAACCUUUUCUGUUCUGUUCCCUAGAGCUUGCCCCACCCAGCCAUGGGCCUAAUACACAGCCAUCCUCAGGCAAUACUUGCUGAAGGAAAGCAGGCAGGCAGGAUUAACCAGAUUUCUAUGGUGUCUUAAAUGAUCCAUUUCUGCACCUGUUUUCCAGAUACUAGGAGAAAAAUUUAAAGGAUUGGAUUGCUUGAUUAUAGUUCUAUUUUAAUGUGUUACCAAACACACUGAAGAAAAAAAGUGGAUCUGUUUUGGGAUUUGUGCUCCAGCUAGAAGGAUCUUUUAAAAUUUCGAAUCAGAGCAUGUCCAAAUUCAAAUAAGGAGAGCACAAAUAAAGAAAAUUAUGAGGCACUUCCCUGGUGAACAUAGAUGAAGGUCCACUUACAGUAUUAACUAACUGAAUCCAAGAGAAUUUUGAACAACAGUUCUUAGACAAGUAGGAUUUCUCCUUGGGAUAUAAAGAUGAUCCAAUAUCAGAAACUCUAUCCGUGUAAGUCACAGUAUUAAGAGACUGCAGGAGAAAAAACAUAUGGUUUUCUCAAUAGAGGCAGAAAAUUUACAUGAUGAGGUUUGACGCCUAUGUAUGCAUUUGAGGGGGCUGGAAGGACAUUACUUAGGAAGCCAAAAACUAGAAGAGAAUUUCCCUAACUUGAUACAGUGUAUAUCCAAAUUUAACUUUUAAGUAAACUUAAAAACUAUUAUUCCUGGUAAGAUAAGGAGCAGGCCAAGGGUAUUUUCCUAGCCACCUCCUAAUAUAAGGAAAAGAAAUGGAGAUGUAAGACUUCCGUGGCAGGAAGAGCGAAACUAAUGACUUAGAGAGAAUAGUUGUAUUUGCAUUGGGGUUUGCAAACAUUUUGAUGUUACAAUCUUUGUGUACUUAAAAAAUUAUUAACUCCCCCUCCCCACAUUUAUUUAAGAUGGACUAUAUUUAUUGGUAGUUACAGUCUUAGACAUUAAAAUUAUGUGCUUAAACAUAGAGCUGUAUAAUUGUAUAUUCCAGGGAGGUCAUAUCUCUGGAAAACUCUGACUUUGUGAGAAUCAAAAUAGAGACUGCAGAUGAGUUAUGGGCGUAUUUAUUCCUCAGACCAUCUGUGACCUUUCCUGGGAGGGUCUGAGAAGGCUUCUCAGAAGUUUCUUUGGACUUUUCUUUGAAAACUGCUGAACUACCUGAAAGAUAAGGUUUUGCAGCAAAAGAAUUAUUUGGGUAUAUACAGUAUACCCAAACAAACAAAUUUUUAAAACCCCACAUUUCUUUAUAACAAUAGUGAUGUAAAAGAUGUAAGAAGUGCACUCAGAUACAAAUUAGAAUAGCAACGAGAUUGUCUGGUCUUUUUUUAAGACAGUGUUUUUGGGAAAACUGUAAAUUCCCAUUGGAGAUAAAGGAAGGUAUUUGGAUGUGCAGAGACAUUUGUUUUCUUGGAAAAUUUAGCGUUAGAAUCCUCAGUAUUUUGCAAAUCUGUAAAUUUAGUUAGAUUGCAGUCAGACUUCUAGCUGGAGGAUUUAACAUCUCUUCCUCAAAAAUGUAUGUGAAAGAGAAAGAUGUACAAAUGCCAAGUGAACUUUGAAAAACAUUCCAUGGCUUAGCAGCCAGAAGGGUGGAGUGACAGAGACCCAGAACAGAGCUCAGUGAGCUCAGCCCCGAGUCUGGGGAAGGUGACAUGUGAUCAAAGUGGCACCACAUAUCAGUGGAACCUCCUUGGAAGAUGUUAAAAAACAAGUAAAAGAGAAACAUCCUGUGAACUCAGAGUCCUUAGAAAGGGGGAGCUCCAAACUGUAAGUAAAAGGUAGUUGCUAUUUAUUAAGAAAAACUACAGAGAAUAUUUUCUAGGGUAGGGUGGAAGUCUUAAGUAGGAUAAAUCUCAAGACUCAAAUUUAUGAACUUGAAUAGGUGCAAAAAUUAAGGAUUUCUAUGAACCAAAUCCAUCAUGGCCAGUGCCACUAGUUCCAUAAUUGAAAGACAUGAUUUGCCUUUUUAUCCCUUCUCAUGCAAAGUUCUGCCCAUGACAAAUUACAAGAUAACCAGAACACUAAAACCAGGGAGCAGCAGCUGAGACGACGAGAAAGCAAAUCAGAGGAAAAGGUAAGACAAGAAACUCGCAGGAGGGUUACCAGUGAAGAUAUGCUCAAACUGAAGUCACCAGAGAAAUGCAAAUCAAAGUGACAUUUAUUUUUCUUCUGAGAACCCUUAGAAAGUAGGAUAAUGCCAAGUGUUGGCAGAAGGUAGGGAGCGAGACUCCCCGCCUGCCGCAGGUGAGAGGGGAGACCGACACAGACAUUCUGGAAAGCUGGCCAGCAUUUUUUUUCCUCAAAUAAAAUAUUUUAUACCUGCGGCGCAACAGUUUCCCUCCUGAGUAAACAUGCUGGAGCAGUUCUCCCCCAGAACAAGGAGAGGCUGUGUGUGCCUGCUCAGCACAGCAUGGCCUGGGGGUGGUGGGGUGGUGGGCAUUUGGCUCUGGUUGCUGUGGUUAGAAGCAGGGGACUAGAUGUACACUUCACAAGAUGGAGACACAUGGAAACGGUGCUGAGUGACACAGACAGCAAACAGAAGGAGGGUUUCAGUCCCUGCCUUGGUGUUUAAAUUCAAAUUACACCCCUCCCAGACCUGCGCUAACUGGGCAUACUGUCCAUACGUACAAUGAUAUUAAUAAGCUACUCCAGAGCAGCUGUCUGAGUGGAAGGGAGUGGGGGUUACAGGAUGGAGAUAGGAUGCAAAAGCAUGGAAGGAGCAGAGUGGUCCUUUUAAACAGACCCUUUCACAGUAACAAUUUUAUGGGCAGAAGGCUGUGAUUUACUCUGUGUGUUAUGCACCAGGACCCAAGAGCCAAGUAUGAAGAAGUGAAUGUGCACCCAUCACUCACCUGCCAGAUACCCUCUGUAGACUCCUAUUUCUAGGAACAUCAGCUUUUUACAAGGUUGGCUUGCCCUGAGCUCUGACCAUUUCUUCUUCUCUUGCUGAGCUUGGGCCUCAGCAGCAUUCUUUGUGCACACGUGUUCUAGGUGCAUGCAUGGGUGGGGUCCAGAGGUCAAUGCUAGGUAUCUUCCUCUAUCACUCUCCACUUUCUUUUUUAUAGACAGGAGCUCUCACUGAACCUGGAGCCCACCAUUUUGUUUUGACUGGCUGGCCAGUGAGUCCCCUGGGAUCUUACUUAGUGUCUAUAACCUAGAACCCCAGUCAUGUGCUGCCAGACCUGGAUUUUAUGUGUGUGCUUGGGAUCUGAGCUCAGGUUCUCAUGAUUUCCAGCAAUCACGAUUCCCAGUAAGUACUGUAGCUACUGAACCAUCUCCCCAGCCCAAUAUCAACAUUUUUUUUUUUUAUUAUUAUUAUAUCAGCAAAGUAUUCCUCCCGCUUCAGGGUCUUAAGGUUAGCCACUCUGCCUGACUUUUAUUUUCCUGUAAUUCUCAUAUCUCACUGCAAGUGCCUUUUCUAACCUGCCAUAUCAAUUAGUCUCCUCAGCUAAUUGCUACCUCAGUCUCAGAAGCAUGGGCUACACUGUGGUAUUCUUGUUCCUUGGGCGUGUCCACUUAAGUUAGCUGCCUGUCUCCUCCACUAGAAGGGAGGUCCUGGGUGAGCGUGUGUGUCUUCUCUGUAGGGUUAGCACUCUGUAGGCAUCUCACACAUUUCUGGUCAGUGGCUUCAUUGAUUUGUUAAAUGAAAGGAAAGAGCAGGCCAGGAAAGUGUUCUUCCACUUUCAGAAUUCAGUGAGAAAGUAAGUGGUGAAGAUUUCUUAACUGCCACCUUGGUGUUAUUUGGUGAAGGAUGGGGGUUGAGGGGAGAGGGGUGCUCUGUGUUGUAGUAUGUUUCACAGCCUAAAUGGCAUUUACCUAGUCCAAGUAGUCCCCUCACAGUUGUGAUAACAAAACCUGCCUCCCAAGGUUACCACAUAGCUCUUGGGGUGGGGGUGGGGGGGCACUCCCUGCCAGGUCUGCCUUAGACUAGUUGCAAGGAGCUAGAAAGCCUUUCAGCUUUAAACACAGGGUCCUUUAAACACAGCGGACCCUGGCCUUUAUCCUGCAAUGCACUAAAUCCAUGCCCUUAUGGUCCCUAUGAAGACGACCCUGGCCUAUGCCUGUAUAAUAGAAGCACCUCCAUCUCUGCUCAUUGGUGUAAAUAUAUUUUGACAGGUAAUCCUGUCCUCACAAUGCAUGGGGUUCCAUUAAAAUCUUUACAACAUUCUUAAAACAAAUCAACAAACAAACAGAACCCUACUUAUUGUUAUGUUGAUGAAUGUCUUGUCUGCAUGCAUGUAUGUAUACCAUGCAUGUGCCUGGCAUCCCCGAGGACAGAAGGAAGGAUCAAUCCCCUGGAAACUGGAGUUUCAGAGGGUUGUAAGCCGCCACAUGGGUGCUGAGAGACAAAUGUAGGUUCUUUCUACAAGAGCAGUGAGUAUUCUUAGCCACCGAGAUAUCCCUAACCCCGGUUACAACCAUCCUUUAGCUGCAGUGCCUCAGUUGUGAGGCAUUGGCACCUGCAGCUUUACCAGUUUGGAGCCGGCCUGGAAAGAGGCUGGGUUGGGUCUUCUCACAGCUGCCAGUUAGUACAGACUAGUAAGUGGCUCUUGUGAACAAUAGAUCCAGAAGUUUACAGUACACUUAGGAGGAGAAGAGGGUUUGCCUCAGAGAAGGCUGCUUGGGAGAGUAAGUGGGUGGCCUCUAAUACUGGGUUUCCUUUCCCUGUGCUUGCCUCUGAUAUCAGCCUUUGCCAUGGUCCUCUAUGCUGCCUGGCCCCAGAAAGUCUGGGUCAGUGGCCAGAGUCCAGACUCCCAGGGUCCUGAUCAGAGUCUUCAGGAAGGCCUGAGAGAUUAGAGCACAGAACUCUCCUAGCCUCUCCCACUGGGAACUGAAAGCUUCCCUGAGCCUUUCCUAGGGACUGAGACCCUUGUUUGCAAUUUAAAUGUGCCCUCCUUUAUGGAAGAAUCCCAGCUCCUUGAAGAGCCUUGAGCUCACCCUCCCUAGCAGUUGUAGCCUUAGCCAGGGGAAGAAACUGAUCUAAUGGGCCUUUCUCCUAAUAAUGCUAAUUGUGGCAAUUAGGCUCUGCAAUAGAGAAGGGGCAGGGCCAGGCCCACUAGUUUGCCCUUAGCUCAAAUCCAGGCCUUCUUACUCAGGCUGCUGUCCAGGUUAACUAAGCCUGGUGAAGGUACUAAAUAAGCAGAGGUUCAGCAGAGGGUGGUUGAAGCCUGCUGGCUUCCAGGGGCAAUCACAGUGGAUAUGGAUCUGAGUCUAAUGUUCAGUCUAGUAUUCAUACAGGUGACUCUGGGCCUUGCCAUGUGAUCCUCCCAGAAGAGGGUCUAACUGGAGCAUAAAGAUGGUUUGAAUUAAUCAAUAGACCAAUAUCUACCCUUUCCUUUCUCUCUCUCUCUCUCUCUCUCUCUCUUUCUCUCUCUCUCUCUCUCUCUCUCUCUCUCUCUGUGUGUGUGUGCACGCGCGCGCGCGGCGCGCGUGAGAGAGAAAGAGAGAGAGGGGGAGAGAGAGGGAGAGGGUGAGGGUGAGGGCGAGGGCAAAGGUGAGCAGGGGAGGGGGAAAGAAAGAAGAGUGAGCAGGGGACCAUGGAUAAGGGCUUAUCUGGUCUGGCAGGAAGUUAGGUUUUGAAGCAUAUGGCUCUAUGGAUUAAGAAACCAUUCCUCAGUAUGGCCAAUUAGUAGAUCUAAUCCCCUCAACCUCCUAACAUAUACUAAAGGAUCAAUGUUUCUUCACUCUGCAGGGUCUUGCUUACAAAGCACUCUGGGUCCUGUUCUCUCUGGGAGCUGGGAAUCUGGUCUAAUGAAAGGAAACACAGCACAGGCAUAGGCAGCCUGAAUGCUUAGUUAUUCAAAGGUUACACCGUAGCUGACUUUGAAUCAGUAUAUAGCGUCUGCACGGUACGGAGACUUUCCAGGAAGUGAAUUAUGUGUAGGAGGCAGGGAAGUGAUUAUUGCUCCAUUUUAUAGACUCAGCCAUUCCACACAUACUUGUUGAAAGUCCACCAUGCAUCGCACAGCUGUCUCGAGGAGGGAUUUUACAGGAGUCAGGUCACGCCUGUCCUAUGGUGCUUGUGUGUUGUUAUACACUGAAGGGAAUAUUCUUUGAGGUCUGGAGAUAUAGAGAAAGGACUAUUAGGAACCAGCCAGAACCCAUCUGGGAUCCUAGUUAGGCACUAAGACCAAGAGGACACUGUGGAGGAGGGAACACGAGAGAAAGAAGCUAGCUUUCUAAACCUGGGUACAGAUCUUCAGUCCUUGCUUCCUGUGAGGAUCUUGGGUUUGUUCUGAGACCACUGAGAGCUGCUAAGGCUCUAAGUUCCCAUUCCAUUUAGAUCCCAUUCCACUCAGGGAACUAAGUGGAAUCCACAUUUUAAAAGGCUCUUCCUCCUGAGUGGAGGGGAAUGGAGGUUAUCAGAAGGUGUUGUGGCCUCCCAGAGGAGUGACAAUACAAAAGGAGGGAAUGGGUAGAGGGGGUAAGCAGCCUGGCUUGGUAGUGGACUAGUUGGGUCUCAGCUAGGAAAGAAGGCGUUGGAAGUGAUUGCAGGGUUUCAGGUUUACACUACUGGAAGAAUUUUUGUUUGGGGUGGAGCAUGAGUUGGAGGAGUGGAGUAUGAGGUGACAGAUAUGGUGGGUCCAGCUAUUGGAAAGCUAGUUUUUGUCAGUCCAGGAGCUCCUGAUGCUGAGGGAAGGGACCAGCGUAGGGAAAGAAGGGCAGCACUACUUAGUGGGUGUGAAACUGGGUGCAGAGCUAGCAUGGUGACCGGGGAUAGAUGGACAGGAAAGAGGAACCCAUUCUUGCAGAGGUCAUGUGGAGUCAAUGUUCUAGUCUUAUGAGGGUUGGCAGUGGACAGCAACCAGCCUAGAAUGUGCCUCCUGCCAGUAUGACUAUGACACUUGCCUUCCUCUGUGACUAGAGAGAAGGCCUUAUUUCUCAGUGGUUCUGUUUUCUCUCUGCAUUCCUAGAAUCAAGAGUAGCAAAAGAACAUUUCUCCAUAGAAUGUGCAGGGAGGGUCACCUCCCUCAGGAGGCCUCGUCCUUGCUAAAGUAUUUCAUAAUCUUGGAACGAUGGAAAAUCCUUCUACCCAUUUUAAUGCAAAGCCGGGCAAGCUUUAAAAAAAAAAAAAACAAAAAACAAACAAAUGGCCUUGAAUAGGCUGAGAUGAAAAGCAAAGAGGUUGCCAACGCUAGAGACUGGGGGAGGGGUGUGCAGUGGGCAGGGAGAUUUUGGGAGGCUCCAAAGUUAGCAGUUUCUGAGCUUUACUGCUCAAACCUAGAGGCCCAAACCAAACAGAGCAGGUCCAGGGUUCAAGGUGCAAGGGGGCAACAGCCCUGUGUGGAAGAUGUCUCUUUCUUGUCAUUGUUCCUGAUUAGCUGUUCAAACAGCCUUCACAGGUUCUGCAAAAAAAAUGGUUAACUGUGGGUCCUCUAUAUCUUCUACUUGGUAAUUUUUAAACACAGCUGAGCCCCGGGUGCCCCUCCCAGAGGCUCAGAGGCCAGAGGCCAGAGGUCAGCACAAACUCUACACCACGUCUGCCUAGCCUUUACCUCAUGUGUCUAGGAAUGAUGUACAUUAGAGUAGAGGCUCUGAUACCUCCCUCGCUCAGGUGCCAGAUCAAGGCUUCAUCCUCUGCCCUUUGCCCAGGGUUUAGUGGGGUUUGCUAAUAUUACUUAAUUCCUGAAUGAACCUUUCAGGUCAGCAUAAAAGAGCUGGGAUUGUAUGGCAAAACCCGGAUGGGGAAGAUGGCUCAGACUGUUAAAAACAAGCUCCCAGCAGUGGGAGGGAAGCACCCCCUCCUUGAGGCCUGAGGUCAGUGUUCCCAUUAAUCCUUCUGCCAAGGGAUAUGUACCUAAAGGUUCUAGGGUCACACCCUAUCGGGACUAGCCAUUCGGGACUUCUGAGAAAUGGCAUUUGAUAGCUACAUGUACUGCCACAACUGUACACAACCAAGUCACACACAUUCAUCCUGUUCCCAGCCAGGGCCCAAGACUGAGUCUCAUUCCCGUUUUACCUCCUCUUAGCCUGGGUGCCUCUACCUUGUAAUAGAUGCUGAGGCCUACUUAGACCCCAUGACUGUGCCUGACAACCAAAGAAGCCCACCUUCUGGUGUCACCCACCUCACCCUAGCUCUCUGUGAUUCCAGCUUUUCUAAGGAAGGCAGGUAGCCUCUCAACCAGUCAUAUGCCCCAUGCCAGACAGUCAUGCCAGCCGCUCCAGUGCUCGUUAACUACCUUUAGGCCUUGUGGACUUCAUGUUCUAUGGAUGCGAUUUAGUACUCCCAAGAGCACCACAAGAAAGGGGAUAGCAAGCAAGAAGAAACUCAGCCACAUAGAAGGACUUGUUUGAGGCCACUGGGUGCCUGACAAGAGUCCUGCCUCUGGGGAAACCAGUGCUCCAUGCCUGUAACCUUGACAGAGUGCUCUUGGAUUUAUGUUUUCAUAGAAGCAGUCUGUGGAGGGCUAGAGAGGCAGCCCCUGUUUUCCUGGGUCCCUGCUUGGGAAGUCACAGCUAUCACUGUUGAGAAAGGCAGCCCAGGUUUGGAGCAGUUGGAGGCUAUCCCAAGAGUAGGUUGGAUGUAGAGGUGUGGGUGCGUAUAAAUGCCAUCCUGGGUAAAUGGAAAGGCCACAGGCCACCGUGAUAAGGUACCACUUCCUCUUCCUGCCUGGUGGGCUGCUUCAGUACCAAAAUGUCCGGCCACUAACUUGGUAUAAACAAAUGGGUGUGAUCCAAAUGCAAAGAACAGAUGCCCUUAGCCCCCACUCCUCCUGCCCUGAUUUUCCUCAGUGGGCUGUAUGUCUCCUCUCCAUUCUGUUUCUAAGACCACCUAAACAUCAAGAAUCUGGAAAAUAGCCGCUACAGCAAAUGUUUAUAUUCUUCUUGGUUUGUCAUUCAUUCUGUUCCUCCCAGAGAGGCCUAAAUGCUGAGAUACUGGGCAGAGGGCAAGGAACAGUACUGCCCUCUCCAGAGGCUGCCAAGAGACAAGGCUGUAGUUGUAGUCUUUAGGGCCAUCAGCCCUACAUGAUGCUGUCCUCCUCAUUCCCUUUUUCCUAUGGGUGGGCUUCUUCCCAUGGGCCACUUCUACCCAAAGCCAUGUGAAAGGCCUUAAGUUCUAGAGGGAUAACCUGAGGGUGGCACUGAGUUGCAGGGUGCAAUGAGAGAUUAUUGCAAGGCUGGUAGAACCCUCCAUCUGCAGGGCUGACUUCAAAGCUGCUGCUGGGCUUAGCCUGCUGCAUCAAAGUCAGCCAGUUAAACAGUUUUCACAUAAAAGGGAGAGUGGAGGGUUUAAAAGCCUUCCCGUGAAGACAGGCAGGCAUUCCACCCUCUUCUCAGGCACAAGAGCCACUAGAGGAGAAAGUAACUGCCCCUUAAAGACACAGAAAUCACCUUACACCCUGGUUUAGGGUUUGAAGACUACAGCCUUAGGUACAAGCGUAGUGAGGCACCUGUGUGGAGGGAUCCUCCAUUUGCAUUCAGCUCCCUGCUUUAUAUCUGGCCUUGUAUUUUGCUUCCCUACCUCCAGCACCUAUGUUUUUGGGGUGGGGGUGGGGGCAGGCUAUCUGGCUGUCGGGAAUAAGGAGAUGUAUGGUAUGACAGCCCUGAGGGAACUCAGAGUCAGGCUGCUCAGGUUGGAUUCUAGCUUUUAGUCUAAACAAUGGCUUUAUACAGUGCCUUUCUUCCAGUCCUAGCAGCCUUGUGUGAAUACAUUUAGAGGAGACCCUCGUUCAGCCUCCCCAAGAACUCUCUGGGAAGAUCCAGGAGACUCUACCUUGCUCUCUGUCUCCCCACUUCUGCCUUCCUCUUUGCCCCCCCUCCCCCCACCGUUGGGUCCCUUGCCUGACUCCAGUAUACUGUGAUGGCAGAAGUGCCAAUGUCUCCUCUCAAGCAGAGCCUAACCCAGCUUGUGCCUUGCAGAGUGCAGAGGGGUGCUCACCCUGCCCUCCUUCAGGGAGACAUCAAAGGGAAACUGGAAGCAUUCCCUGCUGACCCCCAGUGAGUGGGAGAAAAGCAGCAGCUUGGCUCAGCUGGCUGGGCUGGGGAUUUUCCAUCCUACCAACAAUAUCCACAGGAUAGAUACCCCACUCUGGCUUUUGAGGAACCAGGAACCCUCAGGAACCAGUGUUUGAUUUGCAGCCUGAUGGUGCCAUGAAGGGCUCAUUGGCAUUGGGGCAUGGCUAGCCACUUGAGGAGUUCCCUAUCCUCAUGACGUGCUGACGACUGGUUUGAAAUCUUAGCAUUUCUCACCCUAGCAGAAUACUACCUCGAGGUCCCCUGAGAUCUAGCUAGCCAGGGGAGAUCACAAUUUGUGUGGGGACCCAAGAAAGGUAGAGAGAAGACUGCCUGCCUUUUCUCUAUCAGCUGCUUAUCCCCCAGGCCUUUUGUGGAGUGCACACUCCAGCCUCCGUAGCAGCUCAGCACAGCCCAGGCUAUCCUAGACUGUCCCAAGUCCUCAAGGGUUUCAGCACCUCCCAAGCUAAGGGAACAGGAAGUCCAGAAAUAGAAGUCAACAUUUAUGCUAAACCAGGGUACCCUCCCCCCUUUGACUAACAUGGGCUUUUGGCAGCUUCUGGCUCUCAGAUCUCCAUGCACAAUUUGUAGGCUAAAUACUCUACACUACUCAGGAUAUCUAAUCCUGUCCCUCAAGAGUUAGACUGUCAGGUUUUUCUGAGUCACAGCAACCUUAGGCCUGGUAAGUCAUAGUGAGCAUGUUUCCCUCUUCAGCCUAGAACUCACAGGAUGGGCCAAAGAGAAUGCAGUAUGGUUUCAAGGAUGUCCAGGGCCAGCAGCACUACCUGAUGAGAUGAGACGAGAUGCUUGCCUGCUCCAUCCUGUCAGGGUCUGGUCACACAACUAGGCUGGAGCAGGCUUAGAGGGCAGGAUUAGACAUAGUGAGAUCCAACAAAGGCAUAGAAAAUAUCAGAAGUGAGAUAGCAAGCCAGGCCUUAGGCUUGUGCUUCCUGUGUUCCUGUCAACGCUGCCCUACUCUAUGAUUAUGGAAAAAGUAGGAAAAAAAUCUUUAGAGAAACCUAAGUACCAAUGUGGCUUUUGUAGCAGACUGAAUUGUGGGAGGCCCUGGUGAAGACAUAUUGAGCUUUGACAUGUGAUUGUGCCUUAGCUGAGGUCUUCUCUCAGCCAAAGCAAGGACUCAGUUGGGUCCCGACUCCCACAAGGCUAUCUUCAAGUACUGUUUGUUCUACAGAUGGAGGUGGGGGGCUGUUUCUCAUUUCUGCCAAAGUCACUUAAGGGACACAGAGAAGGUAGACCUGUUGCUUUUCUAGUACCUAGAAGUGGAAAGGUGGAGGUUGGUCAGAAAGCCACAUUUUGCUUCUCAUUCCCACAUGAAAAAAGAUGGCGCUGGGGGGUUUACCCAUCUGUUCCUCUAUAUCUUGUCUUUGGCUGGCCUAGGCCCUUAUCUCACCACAUGCCACUCCGAAGAGAGACGGAAAUGACAAGAGUGGGCUAAACUAUUUGGACUGGGUAAAGUCAAUAAUAGACAGUGCCCGAUUAAGAACUGGGAGGACCAUGUCUUCCUAAGUCUCAUGGUAUGCUCCAUUCUUCAAGGGGAGCCAUUCCCGUAAGAGCUGGUGUGACAGAUUUGAAGUGGCUGUGCCAGCUAGUGAGUCUUUUCCUCUGAACCAUGUAGUGAUAGGCAAGGCAAGUUGACAAGGAAGUUCUUUCCAAUUCGAAGAAGCCAAGGCAGUCAUCAAGCUUUGUCUUACCAGGAAAACGUCAGUGUAUAUCGUUGGCUGUCUGGCUUAGAAGAGGCAACUGUGAAUGAUGGCCAGAGAGAAUCACCUAACACAAUCUGGUUAUGAACACAUUUGGGCCAUGGAGCGAGAGGCUAGCCCUGGAGGCCUAGUGGAUCCACAAGAACCCAGAGAGAGAACAAAGAGGCUCAGGGUCUUAGAGGCUUCUGAUCCACACAGAGAGAGUCAGGAAAGUUAUUAGAGGUGUUCCUUCAGCUAUGGGAACAACAUCUGAGAUGCUGGUACUCCAGGGCAGUGUGUGUGCUGCUGGAUAGCAGGAAGGUUUCUACUGAUGCCUGAGGCUUGCUCUAGCUCAUAAAUCUCCACUUCUCCUUAGCACUGUGAAAUGUUUACUCUGAACUAAGCCUCUGCUUUAACAAGUCAUGUUUCAAUAGGAAAACCUUCGUUGAUGGAAUCGAAUGCAAUUCCUCCUCCUCCUCCACGACAGUUACCCAUUCCUAAGAAAAGCACAGCAUUUUAGCAAGCACCCAGGGCCUCAGGAACUAGCAUUUGCAGACAGUAGUGUGGCAGAUAUGAUGGCCUCAUGUGCAUCAAGGAGAAUCUGGCCUCUAUGUGCCUGGUCUUGCCAGUCCUUCAGACUGACAGUUCUGGAGUGCUCCAUCCUUCACUUCCAGCCCCAUUAUCCAUAGAAGCCUUCAGUGGGAACUCUCAGACUUGGUGCUGGUUCAUUCCUAAGACUGGCCUGUUGCUGUGCUUUGGAGUUAGCCUAGCUAGUCCUACCCAGUGCUGAGGGUAUACAUACACACACACAUGUGGCAUGAUCUACCAGCCCUAAGGCAACAGUGUGUUUUCUUUAAACAGUAGAGUAGGUUUCCUGUAUGUACCUAGCUGCCAGAGGUUGCUGCUGUGACCUAGAAAUAGCUGCUGCCCCAAGCCUUGAUCCACAGGUUUUUUUUUUUUAAAGAUUUAUUUUUAUUUUAUGUGUAUUAGUGUUUGCCCACAUGUAUGUCUGUGUAUAACAUGCAUACAUGGAACCCACAGAGGCCAGGAAAGGGCACCAGAGCCCCUGGAACUGGAGUUACAUAUUCACAAAACCAAGAUGGUUCCUUCCAUGUGAAACCCUUCUAAGAGAAUCAUCAAAAAUUACUGUAUUUCAUUGGUGCCUACAUUUCUAGAACAGCAGGCAGAAAGGGGUGCAUUGUAGAGAAUGGUGAUAAGAUAGCUUCUGGAGAACUCUGGGGCCCCAGGCCCCAUGGAUAGAACCCUGCCAGGGAGCUUUGAAGCUGUACCGUCCCUUCAAGAUGUUCCUGGCAGGCGGAUUUCUGAGUUUGAGGCCAGCCUGGUCUAUAGAGUGAGUUCCAGGACAGCCAGAGCUACACAGAGAAACCCUGUCUCAAAAAAAAAAAAAAGAUGUUCCUGGCAUUAACAGGGUCCAAAGCAGCCUUCCCAGCCCCAGGCUGGGUCCUAGGAGAACCUAACUGAUUGCAUGGGAAACCUCAGUCAUUUACAUAUUCAUUUAUUUAUUUCUUCAUCAAACAUUCACUGAAGGUUCCUGAUGUGCUCUGAGUAGAUUAAGCACAGAAUAUAAAACACUGAAUGGAAGUGGUCAGUAUCUGCCCUCAUGGACCUUGAAUGGAAUUGACAGAGAAAGUCAGUAAACUUGUUACCACAAACAUGCGGUUAUACAUUAAAAAUGAGGGAUGGGGGUGCAGUUCUCCAUGGUUCAGUCUGAAGCUGAGAAAUAGCCUAGGCACGUUUCAGCCUAAAAUCAGCCCUAGCUUGUGAAGGUGAAAGUCAGAGGAGAGCUUAGCACGUUUAAAGAUGACGCCAAGAGAAUGUUACAGGAGCUGGGCACCUUCGGCAGAUCGACUAUUCCCUGGCUUUGUGACCUGGGCCCCAGACUUGAUCACUCUAGUUUCAGUUUAUCUCUAAAUCAGAAAUGGUAGAUAGUAUUCAUAUGUCAGAAGCUGCCGUGAGGAUUAGUGAAGUUAUAUGUAUAAAGCCCUCAGCAUAAUGCCUGAGAACUCUUAAGUAGUAUUAGCUCAGGAUUAUUCUUUAGACUGACAUUGUGCUCGGAGUGAGCAUGUUUUCUCCUUAAACACUAGAGUGGUGGUUCUUUUGAAAUACCCAGUUGGUAAAAUCGGGACUCUCCUGUUACUCCUGCCCCUAGGACUCCUUCUGGAUGCAUGGGCAAGCUCUAGUGAGGCCUAGUACUCAGAAGAAAAGAGAAGGCUUUCCUCUACCCAUGCUCAGGAUGUUGUAGAGUUUUCUGGCUUCUUUCGGCUCCAGGAGCCUGUGUCUGUCAUAGAACAGCUUGGCUCAGCCUAGAACCGGCACUCAGAGCUACCUUUUGGAGAUGAGUACAUUGUAUAUGUAUGCAUGUCCAUCAUUUGUGUACACAUUUAUUUGUAGGGCACAGCUAAAAAUCUCCAGAAAUAUCCUGGGGAAGAUAAAAUUCUUUCUAGGCUUCAUGGUAUCCUAGUGGGGACCACCAAAGCCUAACUUCCUACCCAGAGUCUGAGGAUGGUAAGGUCAACUGGUUCCAUUGUUUCCAGAGCGCUCACAGAAAUCGCCAAUCUUUAUCUGAGUUAGCUUAGCCCCACGAGCCUUCACAUGGGGGUGAAGAAUGAGUUAUACAACUAGGGGUCCCAGGGUUGGAGAGACAGACAAAACAGAGGAGAAUGGUUUGUCCUGGAACUCACAGAAGAGAGCAUCCUGCUUCUGCCUCCUAAGUGCUAGGUCUGCAUCUAGUCUACCUUCUGUCAAAGCUAGUGGGCUUCUUUCUAGCCUCCCACCUUCCCUUAACAUAAUAUAAAAGCACAUUCCUUGGAAUCCUUGGAAUCCACCCGUCCCCCAGCAUUGAGAAUAGAAUUAUAGAAUUUUCUCUUUCUCUCUCUCUCUCUCUUUGUAUGUGUAUGUAUAUGUGUAUGUGUAUGUAUACACACACGUUCUUAAUGACAUUUUCUAAAAUACUGUUGUAAAGUCUUGAAGUAAAAAUUCCACUGGUAGUGGGGCCACAGCGAGAAGAAAAAAAAUUCCAUUGGUGUGUUAAUCUGACAGUGCUACAUAAUAAAAGAACACACAUCUAACAAACCUAUGAUGGCUAAUAUAAAACUCUUACAUAUUAGCCAAGAAGGUCUGGCAGUUUAAAAAAAUGUAUAGACCUGAAUUAAGAUCAUAGCAGGAUGCAAAAACAUAUACAACCUGGGUGAGCCUCAGAGGUGGGCAGACGGAGGGCUUCAUUUUCUUUUAAAGAUGGCAUGCUGCUUGGCUCAAUUCAUGUAACAUUGCUAUAAUGCCAUGUGUGGCAGUAUAUGCCUUUAAUCCCAGCAUUCAGGGGCAGGGGCAGGGGCAGGGGCAGGUGAAUCUCUGAGUUUCAGUCAGGGUAUAUAAUGAAACCUUGACUCAAAGGAACAAACAAAUUUCAGUGACGUACAGGCUAGUAAUUGCCAGGGGAUCAGGAAAGUAGGGCUGGAAAGCCUGAGGUACCAUAAAGUGGCUGUACAUAGGGGCCCUUGAGGCCACAGAAACAUUCUGCAUUGGUACUGUACCCUAAGCUUGAUACGUUUCUAUAGUUCUAAGUAUGUUGCUGGAGGAAACUGGUCAAAGAGUAUAGGGAAUCUCUUUGCUAUUGUUUACAGGCAUAUGUCAAUCUGUGGUUACCUUAGAAUGGAGUGCUUAAAAAGUUACAUCUCGCUUAAGUCAGUAGUACACUUAAAGAUACCAAGAGGUGAAUUAAAAAAUGUAAGAGGAAGAUAGGUGGGUGGGUAAAGAGUUAAACAAUAUAGAGACUUUCUAGUUCACUUGAGCAUUGGGAACAGCGACUUCUCCUUAUGAAUGGACGUUUUCUAUUUACCAAGGUGAUUCUUCUUUCAUCUAAAAUAUCAGCACAAUAAGGAAGGUUACACACAGGUGAGUUAUGCUAAGUCUUGUGGAAAAUGUGGCAUGUCCCAUGUUUCUGAAGCACCUGGAGCCACCCCUGUACCUCUGUAGUCUGACCUCACCCCUACCCCCUCAUCAUGGUAGGGCGAUUCUUCUGUCAAGGUGAGAAAGGCAAUGAUUUCUAAGAUUAUGCUCCCAUUCUGAAUAACCAUAAGGGGCUGCAUCUGCCUUGCUUCUGACACUGAUGCUAUUCAACCAGACUUCCCUCUCCACGGCCUUGCCAAGCAUGGAGAAUGUGGGUUGUAGGUGAUGAAAGGUAAGCUGAUGCCUUGUGAUGGAAAAUGCAUUUAAGGAGCACAGCAGACAACCCAUGUCGAACACCUUUCUACAUGGUUCCAUAUUAAUACAUUUCACCUCUGAACAACUCAGGAAGAAUGUUCUUUUAGUAUGAUUUUAUAGACCGAAGGUCUAGAAUGAAGGAAGAAGUGGUGAAGCCUGGAUUAAAAUUUGGUUUAUAGCUUCAGGACCUGCUUUUUGACCAUGUAACAUUUUAGUUGCACAUCCUGAAAUAGAAGCACCAAUCAAGUAGUGGGUGUGGCAUUCCUCCCAGCCAUGGACAAGGUUGGAAAAACAUAAUUGUCCCUGGUGGCCCAGCUGAGAAAGGGACUGAGUCCUUGCUUUACAGAUCAUGCUGUGGAGCCAUUUUUACCUGUAUAGAUUAUAAUAGCACUGUCUGGUGCACCCCCUCCUUUUGGUGACAGAAUUUAGGGGAGAGACUGGGCUAUAUGUUAAGAUUAUGGUACUUUUAAAAGUUUUUUUGGGGGGGGCGGGAAGGGCAAUUUCUAGGGACUGAACCCAGGGCCUCCCACAUGCUAGCUAAGUGUGCUGAACUCUACUUGUACUCAAAACCCAAAAGACAAAACCUCUAACCCUUUGCCUUGAAUUACACAUUGUUCUCCUGUUUUCUCCGAAUGUGAUAAAUUGUCUUACGAUGGCCCUAAAGCAUGAUUAGAUAUGUACCCAGAUGGCUCCUGUGUCUGGCCAUAACAUACUCUUUGGAUGUUGCCUUAUGAGGGAGCCUCUAAGAUAAGUUCUCAUGGUCCCUGAACAUGGUUAGCUAUUGAGGACUAAGUCAGGAGUUAAGGAUGUGUGUCACUCAUAGCCAUAGCCAUGCUUAGCUCACAGGCCAGUCUGGGAGCCACUCACUAGUUGAUACAUUGUGAAUGAACACUUCAUGCCACCUGGGUUUUGAUAAUGUACGAAGAAGCCAUGACACACAGAAGGACAUCUCAUAAAGUUAUAUAAUAACACCAGCAGGACCAGUAUAGUUCUAAGUAGAGCCUGGAAACAGACACAAAAUCAGGAAAUACAAUCAAGAUAGCUGUUAAAACCAGCAGAGCAAAGAUGUAAGUUUAGUGUUGAAACAACCAUAUAACUGUGGAAAAUAAGUCGGCUUUUUAACUAUUCCAAAUCCAGAUAAACAAAUAAUAUAAACAUAAAGCAUGAAAUAAAAGAUGAUAGAAAACACGGGAGACUUCAUUAAGACAGUCACACAGUGAGCUUAUUUCCAGAUCUGAUACAAACCCCUCAAAUAACCAGACUGAAAGAACUGACUUUGUAAAAAAAAAAGCAAUAUCCAAGAAACAGUGGGAAAAAGUGUUUUUAAUGACCCAAACCAAAUGUUUUAGGUAUUUAUAAAGGAUAAAACCCUCAUGGUGGAGAGAUGGCUCAGUGAGUAAGAGGGCUUGGCAUGCAAACAUGAGGACCUGAGUUAGGAUCUCAGCUCCCAUGUCAAAAGGUGGGUGUAACUGCAUUCCCGCCUGUAACAGUACCUGUUGAUAGAUAGCUAGGAGGAUUGUUGGGCCUUACUGGCUGCCAGCUCAGGUCCAGGUUCAGGGAGAGACUCUAUCUCAGAGGAGUCAGGUAGUGAUAGGUCAGGACACCUGAUGUCCUCCUCUGGCCACUCCAUGUGCAUGGGCUCCUGCACAGCACACGUGUUCUCCCCACAUGCCCCCCCCCCAUCCAUGGACACCGCCCCCCNNNNNNNNNNUAAAAGAAAACCAAAGCUGUAGCAUACGAUGCUUUAAGUCUUUCCAAUUAACAGGCCCAUCCAUAUGUACUCUUGUUGUCGGGAUCUAGGGAAACAGGCAUAUUUGGGCAGCAUUUACAAUAGUAUAGGGUCUGUGAGGCAUUAUCUACCUAAAUCCCAUUUAAAAUAGGCCGAAGAGACAUCUUAAAGUGAAUCCAUUUGAAAUAAAAAUCAAUACAUUGUGAUAAGCAGAUGAUUGGAAGGUUAUCUUGAAAAAGUGUUAAGUUAUAAAAAGAUUUGCUCAUAUAUAAUAACACUAAUGUCUGCAGACACACACUUUUAGAAAAAUAGCAAAUUGAAAACCUUUAUUUUGUAAAGCACUAUGCAGUACCAUCUUGCAGAGAAAGGAUGUUGUUGCAGAAGUAUGGCAAGGCCUGGCUGAUUUUGAGAGGGGCUGCCCUGAAUCUUCCAUGACCUCACCAACUCUCCCUUAAAAUGCUUAUCUAGAAUUAGCCUGGCUCUUCUUUUCAAUAGAUAACUGGUCUAACUGUCUGAUUUUUCCAUGGAGAAAUUCAUCAGCAAAUCUCUUUCCAACUUGAUGAAUUCUUCUAUAAGAUUUAUAGUUUCUCUUCAUAAGUGAUUUGCUUUGUGUGUGCUUAAUGUUGUUUGGUGGACAAGAGCAGCCUAGAAGGAGCUCAGUCAACAGAGAUGCCAGCAGGGAUAACAUGGAUGGGGAUGGGGAGGCACAGCCAUGUUCAAUGGGGAGAGCAAUUUCAGAGGGAACUAAUUUCAUAAGUGGUCGGUUCAUAAGUGAAUACACUUGAAUGGAUAAUCACUAUUUUUAGCUGCUCUAUACAUUCAUCAAUAGGGGACUUGUUCCAUAAAUCAUGGCAUAAUCAGAGGCUCUGCAGCUGUUAGUAGAAAGGAUGCUUGCUGCUUGUCUGAGUAAAGCUCUAUCUUCGAAUUCAUGUCCAUUGGUGCAGAGCGCCCAUGCUAAACGUGCAAAGUUUCAUUUGGCAUGGCCUCUGGGACAUAUGUCUCAGUCCCUGGCCACUGUGUGCUGUCGGACUCCUGAUUUCUGCAUUGUAUAGUAGCAUCCUUGGGAAUGUUCACUUUCUUCAUAGACUAUCCUUUGGAAGAGAGUCUGGGUCCACCAAUUUAUUAAAGGUACCUUUAGGAAGGUGGUUUUUUAACACCUAGUUUAGCAUUCCUAAUCCUGCACUACCAUCUACAUGACUUUGCCAGAUACUGUUGAGUUUACGUGUUGACUAGAAAUGCGCCUGGUUCCAGGAAUACAGCUAACAACCUGAGGAGAAUAGUGAGCACGUUCUGUCUGGAAAAAGCCUGGCCCAGAGCAAAGGCCACAUCCCCCUUACAACAUCCUGGAAUCCCAGCCACGAGAAAAACAGCACUGUCACCUGCUCACUUGAAUGUGCAUAUAUAAGUAAAACUGCUACUCAGAGUUGCAACAUAUCGUAACAAGCCAGUCCUGUGCAGACAUCUGCAAGACUACGGCACCUACCUGUACAUAAGACACACGUACAAGUAUACAAGAAUGUGUGCCACCCAUGUCCAAAGGAGGCACAGAGACAUGUAUCUUUGCUUAUAUAAAGUCUCUGGGAAGACCUAGCAGAACUAAAAACAUUUAGGAGAAGAAACUUGGGAAUUAGGGUUGGGGUAGGAGACCCUUAGUUUUGUGUUUUUGUUUUUCUUUGCCAUAUUCCUUUCUGUACCCUAAUUUUCACUGUUUGAUUUGUGCAUGUAUACACAAGGAUGUGUGGUGCAUUUGUGGUAUUUUUUUUAACAUAAUACUAGUAUAAAAGGUUUGCUCUGAUGUGCAGUGCAUUUUACUGUGAUGUUUGCUUUUUUAGCACAACAUUAAUACUUUACAAAAGUCUUGUUUGGACAUAGCAGGUGUAGUUCCAGAUCGGGAUUGGCUGUAGGCAGCCACAGUAUGCAUGCUGGGUGGACAGCAUGCCUUGGAGCUGGGAGUCUCUGGUUCAUGUCACUCUGGAGCAGGGGCUGCUCUAGCACAAAGAAGGUUUUGAAAGGCAAAGGCAGAGCCAGAGUCAGGGCAGGCUCUGGGCAGGCUCCAAGAGAGCCAGCAACCCUCUGCUGAAGGGUACCCUGAACCCCAUUGCACAGGCGGGCACCUCCUGUGAAGUGAGACUGCUACACAAGUCUCGUCAUUAUAGACUUUUGAGUGGAGUGAUUCUGAAAGAAGAGAAUGAGUACGGCGUGUCCUACUGUGCCUCAUUAAAUAUGGAAGUUUUUAUGUAACUUUCCUCCAUUUCAGGUAAUCUCAAAUUUGAUAAAUGAAGAAUGACAGCAGUUCAUCUUUCAGUUCAUUUGUGCCUCUAUUGAUCUAAUUGAAUGUUUUCUAUACAAAUUUAUUUUUAAAUCUAUCUUAGAUCUUAGUCUACAACCACAUUUCAUAUUGCCAAAACUGCAUUAGGGAGGGCCAAGUUAUCUUCACCAUUGAAACAGGUCUGCUAGUUUGGCUCUGUCUGUCCUGUGGAAAUGACACAAUGUUGACCUAAGAGGGGGGUCCUCACUUCUCCCUACUGAGUCCCCAUGGUUGGGGAAGAAGAAGCUGUGAGCCCACCCCCAGACCUGCCCACUCAGGACAUGCCCAUGUUGGGCUUGUCUGUGGACUCUGCCCUUGGCAUCCCUGUUGCCCACCUGGGCUCUGGCAGAGAAGUUGGGCGGGAAGAGGCCAGCCGAGUACCCGCCAGUAUAAGAGGAAACGGAGAGAAACAGCUCCAGUCAGCCCCAGAAGGGAGGCCUGGAAAAACUCUGCAGCUGGAGCAAACACAAAGGACUUUUCAGAUCCUGCAGUCAAGGUGCCCAGUGCUUUUUUUUUUUUUUUUUUUAAUACAGCUAUUAGGGUGACAAGCCUUUCCAAAGGCCAGCAGUUGGCGAGAGUUUCCAGGAAGCUGGUCUGGCAUGGGGCUGGGAUCAUAGCAACUUUUAACGAGUGAAGUUCAGAAGGAAAGAGUCAUCAGGAAAGGUUUAAGGUUCAACAAACUUUUUGAAUUAUUUUGCAAAAAAAGUUCUGGCUUUCCAAUUCAAAGGCAUGUUUCCCUGUGAUGGUUUUAAGCCAGAGCUUAUUUCAAAGGCAACACAGACUGCACGUUUCUAAUUCAUUCCCUGGAGAUAUUUGCCUAAUCCUAGAGACAAGCUUUGCAAGUGCCAUCCAGUGCCUGGAGACACUAGAGCCAUCCUACUAUCUUUUCAAACAGCCAUCCACCCACGUGUCUCUCCCCUCUACCAGUUUCUGUGGUUGGGAGUACACAUAUGCACACACCUUCUCUAAGCAGGAAGCUGCUCUUUGCCAAAAGUGAAUGGAAUUCAGAUUUCCAGAGGGUAUCCUUGGUCUCAAGCUCCAACAGCCAUCUGACGAAGAAAGAUGCUAGUGUGCGCGCUGGGGCUGUGAAGAGAGGGGCUUCCGUGUCCAUUCAAAUCUUUCUGGGCCCCAAGAAAAACCAACAACUGGCUGUGCUCUCCCUAGCCCCACCCAGCCUCAGUCACAUUCCUUCCCUUCCUGAGCCCACCCUGGGUGGCCCCACAAACCAGCUUCCACUCCUCCCUUCCCACUAGUGGGGAGACCUAACUCAUGUACUCAUCGAACAGCCAACAGUGAAAAUGAAGGUCACACUGCAAGCCCAGAACAGCUUAAAAGCAGAGAAGGGUCCUCCCCAAUGUCUGUUCUCACCCCAGUCAGAGGCUAUUCCCUUUUUCUCUGUCUAGCAGCCCCUAGGACUAAGCGUUCAUACCUUCCUGUGCUUGCUUCCAGGAAAUCCUAGCCUACUUCUGCCUGUAACAUUCUUGGUCCGGGAAAUGAAGAGGCUGCUGUUUGGGCUGCUGUAGCCUUCGCUACUAGAAUGUUCCAACAUAUUAGGGAUCUCUAUCCCUACCUAAGCCUUCCAAGCCCCAGGAUCCAGCAUCCCUGGGACUUGUACAUUUAUACAUGCUGACAUGGUUUUGAUAAUGAGUCACAGUAGGGAUCAGCAGUGACAAGGUAGACUGGCUGGUCCUAAGCCUAAGUUUCUGGGAUUUGUACUUGUCCAGCCAGGGAGGGAACAUGUGGAGAACCUUCUGCAGCUGUCAGAAGGAAUGAGUGACUAUGGUGGACAUUUUGGUUCUGUGCUCAGCAAGAUACCUAGGGCAGAGACUUGGCUCAAAGGCUGCAAAUCAAAUCCUUUGAUUUCAAAUGAGACUAUUUUCAAUGCCAUAGUCUCCUGGAAGCAGGAUUAUUUCUCCUGAGAUCAGUUCUGGAGGCGAUUGAGGCUUUGCCAUAUGGGCAUUGCUCUCUCACCUGGUUCUGGUUGCUACCAGGUGCUCAGCUUGUCUAAUUACAGUUGACUGUCUCUACUGUCUAUGGCUCUAAGGCCCAGUCUGAUCCUCUUGCUUGGUCAAAAGUAGUGUUGUCCUAGUGGAUUUUCUGGGUGUUCUGUAAAGUGUUAUUAUGGUUUUACUGGCCAGCCUUACUUUCUUUCCUUGGCCAGUCUCAGGUCUCAUCUGUAAGUAUCUGCAUCAUAACCUCAGGUCUACCAACUUCUUCCUGGCAGAGUCUGUAGUGGGCUUGUCCUCAUCACCUUGGAAGGAUCUUCCUGUUCCAGUCCUAGGUUUUGUGCUACUUAAGAAAAUGCCCCAGGUAACUAGCAGUAAUGCAGCCAUUUGAUCUAGCCCUGCUGGAGGUGACUGACAGAACCCCAUACAGAGGAGAUAGGUUCCAUCAGUAAACAGAACAUAGGGGUAAGAAUUGGGCCCGCUUUCUGGCUCUGGUCAUGCCAUUAGGUGGCCGUAUACUCUCUUAUCUCUGAUUGACUUCCAUUCUCUUGUCUUUACAUUAUAUGACACCUCCAAGGAUGUUGUGACCCAAACCCAGACCGCAUGGUCUCCUGAGAUCCUGUGAUGGGGCCAUUGCCCAUUGUUGAGACAGUCUGGUAAAGAAAAGCCUGGUAGCAUGGAGUAUGCAAAGCCUUAGGGAAGAAUAACUGUUUGUUUGAGACAGGUCUCAUUUAGCUCAGUUUGUUCUCAAACUCAUUGUCACUGAGGAUGACUUUGAACUUCUGAUCUUCUUGCCUGAAGCUCCUGAGUGCUGGGAUUACAGAUAUGUACAACUAGACCUAGUUUAUGCCGUGUUGGGGGUCAAACCCAGGGCUUCAUAAAUGAUAAGCCAGCAGCUCUCUAACUGCUAAACCAUAUCCCCAGAGGGAAGAAUAUCUUCAGUGAGGCCCUGAGCCUCUGGGCUGGACUACUUUACCCCUCCCCCUGUGCACAUAGCAUGCUAAGUUCAGUCAAGCCUGGAGCCUUUUGUCAAGCAUUGCUCCACUGAAGGUUGACCAUGCUACCCUCCCCCCCCCCCACACCCCAGGCACCUGCAUCUGGAGCCCACACUCCUAGCUGGUAGAGUUCAUAGGGUAGGUUUUUGUUUUCUGAAAAAGACUAUUUCAGUGUUUUGAAUUAGCAGAGUUUCAAUUUAAUUUAACAAUUUCAAGCUCGGCGGUGGUGGCACAUGCCUUUAAUUCUAGCCUUUUAAACUGCCAAGAGGCAGAGGCAGGCAGGUUUCUGAGGCCAGUCUGCUCUACAAAGUGAGUAUUCUAGGACAGCCAAGGCUAUAAAGAGAAACCUUGCCUCUAAAAACAAACAAACAAAUAAACAAACAAACUCCAUAUCCAAACCUGAGGGAAAUAAAAGUCUGGCUACCUCCAAAGGAGGUAGACUUAGGCAAGAGAAAAAGAUCUUGGAGUAGAGGGCAGGGUGUUGGCUCACACAUAUGGCCUAAGUGUAGUCAAGGCCAGGGCAAGGGGACAGGCCCAGAACAAAUGAGCACUUUAAGUCCCAGUAUGACCUUCGCCCUACCAUCUUCACCUCAGGUACAGAGACCAGCUGCCUAGGAAAUUAAUGGUGGGGCCCAGAGGACAGCUGCUUAGUGCUACCUACUUCAAUGAACCUAGUUCUGUUGGGGCAGCAAGUUUAGGCCCUAAAGCAGGAUAGGUAAGAACCCUGCCUGAGAGUAUGUGUUUGUAGAGAGCUCUAUGUUCUCUAAGCCUCAUCUUUCACCCUUCUUACCUGCCUACAACCCCACAACAUAAAUACCUCCUAACUACCUUGCAAAUGCAGCCUCAUUUCUGCCUCAGUUCUCCAGUAGGGCACCAUAAGCCACUGUUAGGACAGAGUAAUACUUAGAGUUUGAUUUUAUAUGAGGGCUUACAGCCAGAGUCCUCAGAGAGAAGCCAGGUAGAAUAAAAGUGAUCCCUGAAAACAUCUUGAAUUACACCCUUCCCCAGUAAUCUCUCUCAGAGCCCUCUGAUCUCUUGCUUCUAAGUUGUUCUCAUGUCCCCAAAGAAGAAAAAGCUCUCAGGGGACCUGCCAAUUGUCUCUGGACUUCUGGGGCAGCAGCUCCAUGUGUGACGAGAUUACGUAGGCAGAAUAUCUAAGCAGAUGGUGAAGCCAGGAUUAUGGAGCUAGAAAUGCUUGGCUGAGUAGAGACUUAGACUAGACCCCUAUCUCUUGCACGCGCCGGACUCGCCAGCAGUAACAAUGCUGCAACAGGAUCCUUCUGCACACAUUUAUUGGGAGAGCUUGAUUGCAGAGGCGAAGAGACCCCGAGCCCAGAACUGGUGCUGCUUAUAUAGGCCNUUAUCAUACCUCAUUUGCAUGUCUCACAUCUGAUUGGUUAUACUCUCAAAGCCUCAUUAUCAUGCCCGGGCCAGGCAGUGUCUUUGCAAAAAAUUUUACUGCAUGUGUACACAUUGGUUGUUUGUCCAAACUUAUGCGUGGUGGCCAGCAGUAGUGAGCGCCACUCUGCAACAGCACAUGUGGCUUCCCACACCUAUCUACUUCCCCCCAUUCUCUUCCAUGUUUCCAAGAUGUCACCCAGAUCACCCAUAGAUCCAGCCAUGGGCUUAUCGUCAGACCUCUGCUAACCAGUCAUUGCCAAGGAGAUGCGUCUCAGGUAUGGCUUUUGCCAAGGACACCUGAACUCUCCUAAAAGGAAUACAAAUAUAGGCAUAAAUACUGAGUUGGAGGCUUCGGGGCACCAUGAGAAGCUUAAGAGGAAAGGACAUCCUAGUUCCUAGUCUCUGAGAUCUAGAGAUGCUGGCAUGGCCUGGAAGCCAGUGAAGGCUCCUGGCUUCCUUAUGUGGCAAUGUCAAUCACGGUAUACUUAACAGGCUGAAUUCACAGAAUUCUCAUGGCAGAAGGUGAUCAGAUGACCAGUGCCCAAACCCACCAUGGACUGUUCAAAUCUACCAAUGGUCAUAAACUCUCACGUAUUACUGAGAGUGCCAGCUUACUACUUACUCUCAGGACUUCAACCUGACCUUCACCAAAGGAGACGUAGGCCCCCAGUGACAGUGUGUCCUAGAAUGAGCCUGGCUCUUCCAGUAUUUCUUGUGUGAUAGUAGCAAGUUUCUGCCCUUCCUGAACCUUUAUUGUCCCCUUUUGUGAAGCUGAACACUGACCCACUAAGUUCUCCAGCUUACACAGAUAUACAUUAUGUAUAUCAGCUAACUAUACCAUCACCAACUCUAGCACCAGAAGUGCAGCACAGGCUAGCACUGAAAAACUAGUUUGUAAAUACUGUGGCUACAUUUGGGUUUAUCUUUUCAACAGAGAGCCUGCUUCCUAUCACUUGCAGGGCCAAAGGAAAGCAGGAUAUAAAACUUACCCCUCUCCUUAGUCUGUCUGAAGGUAGGUGCUUUUGAGUAAGCAAGUCAGCCCAAUGAUGAUGGGACCAAAUAUUGAAGCACACAGAGGAACCUUUAACUGCCAAAGGCACAGUCCUUGGAUCCCAUGUCCGACUUCCUCAUCAGAGUUAUGGGUGCUAGUCUCCUGCUUGUAUCUCUAAUUAUAGGAGUCAAAACAGCUCACAAGCCCCUUCCCCAGCUACUUCAGGCUUUAGUCAGGACUUGUAGCCUUCCCCUGCUGCUACAUAUUCCAGAUCAUCCCAGAGCUCAGUCCUCUUAAGUCUAAUUUUAUCCUGUUUAGGACAGCACUUGGGAUGCAGCCUGACCCAUUUGUAGCCCAUGGAAAAUCAUUACCUGGCAGUUUUUAAAGCUGUCAGGUCAAAUAAGCAAAACCUUAUGGGGUCUCCAGUCACAAAGGGAUACUUUAUACUUUCUCAAGUAGUUCCCCAAGUCAGGUAUAUGACUGGAUACCUGUCCACAUUUGCUAAAAUGUAUAUACCAACAGAGGAAGAUACAUUCUAAAUGUGUUAAUACACAAAGAGAACUGUAGCUCAUAGACAUUAAGAAAACUGCUUUAGGGUCCUGUGAGCAGGAUUGGAUGACCCAAGCCUGCCAGGGUUUCCUGAAAGAUGGUCCGUAGCCACUGUGAGCCCACAGCAAAUGCAAGCUUCCCAGGGCUUCCUGGAAGACACUGUUCUUAGCUAUUGCGAGCCCACAUCAGACCAUAAGCAUAUGCAGAAAACUACAGUAAGAGGACAGGAAGGUGACCGAAAUGGCUGGAGAACCAAUCAGGCCAUUGUUCCGCAGAGCCCUCAUAGGGCCAUUACAAAGGACAUUUUCCUAGAAACUGAUGCAUAUAUAUUGAAGCAAAGGCCUUACAGAGCCAGCCAAGCCAGCCAUGAGGAAGAACUGAGGGAGCCUGCAUACCCCAGCCCUCAGGUCCUACUGGUAAACAGCAAUGAUAAUGAAAGGGUAACACUGGCCAAAGAGAACAACCUGAAAGCUGACCAGUUGAACAGAGGACAGUCCAGAGAAUAACCAUAUGCCAACAGCGAGCUGAUUUAUAGUGACACUGAUAUGACAGGGCAGUGGGAGAAGGAUGGUGCUGUAUCAGACUGGAUGUCCAAGUGGAGGAAAAAGCUUAUCUUGACCUUGACUUCACACAGGACACAAAAAUCGAUUCCAGAUGGACUGCAGAUCUACAUGUGAAAGGUGAGCUUUUAAAGCUUUAGAACAAACCAGAAUAUCUUUAUGACCUUGGAGUAGUCAAAGUUUCUUAAGUAGGACAUAAACAGCACUAUCCAGAGAGGAAAUGUUUGAUUAACUGGACCAUGUUAAAAUUAAGACCUUCUGUUCAUCAAAAGACACCAAGAGGGGGCAGGACAGUCCGCAAGCAGGGCAGUAUUUACAAUACAUGUAUCUGUGUAUCUGACAAAUGACUCACACUUAAGAACACCCAGGACAGAGAGAGAUAAACUUGUGCCUGAAGAAGAACAGCUCUCAGUAUAGGAUAUAGAUGUCUUACAGAGAUCUAUAAAGAAAUGAGAAUAUAGAAUGGGGCUUAGCUCACUGCAAAUUACAGAUACCACUCUGAUGUUAUGAGAAGCCAGGAUGGCUAAAAAGGAAAUAGUGAAAAAUUCCAAGUGUGUGUGAGGAUGUGGAAAAAAGUGGAAUAUUCACAUGCUGCCAAGCAGGGGUAAAAGUUGGGGUGACUGCCAUGGGAAACAGCUGAUCCCGCAAUGACCCAGCACUUCUCGGCAUACAAUUAGCAGAGAUAGCCAUAACUUUUACCAGACACAUAUAUGUAGAAUAUUCUUAGUAACUCACUACCCAGAUCUGCCCAGUGGUCAUGGGUAGUAGAAUGAAAGAGCAAAUCACAGGCCACUCAGAACAGAGUGUCAACGAUCAAAAGGCUCCCGAGACCACUGUUUUCUUCAGCCUCACUGGGAGGGGUGGGUGGUUCUCAGACAUCAGAGUGAAUGAAAGUGCCAGAUACAUGUGUGUGCCGUGUGCGAUCUAGCCAUGUAGAUUUCAAACUCGGGCAAAGAAGGCUGUUGUGCUGGGAAGUGAGCUUAUGGUUUGUUCUUGGUGUGUCCAUGAUAGGAAAUGGGAUCUAGGGGACUCCCUGGGGAUUCUACUGCUUUCUUUGGAUGCUUGGCUCUCAGGUAGGGAGAAUGCAGUAGGUUUGUACUGGAAAUCUGUAUACGUUACUCUUUUGAUGUGUUCCCUUUCUACUAUAAGUAAGUUUGUAACCCAGUGCUCUAUAGAAGACAGUAUUUUCUGAGCUUUAGUAGAGACACAACACGGUACAAGCCCAGAGGGACUGGCCUUGCCGCCUGACUACCACCUUGUUUAGAAGGAUAUAUUACUCCAGUACCCCUGACCAGACCACCAGCAGUCCCUAUUGUUCAGUUUCCACUUCCAGCUCUAGGCAAAGCAAACAGAAGAUGUAUUUGAGGGGCUCUCUCUGUUUUUCAGAGUACCUUUCUUUUAUGGUAUCGGUGUAGUAUGUACUGUCACACUACUCUCCCUGGCUUCUCUGUCUCCCUCAGAACAAUUCUAGGAGGUUGCUGCAUCCCUUUUCAUGUGCUUAGAUGAAGGAAGUGAAACUAGGGAAGGUUAGGGGCACUGGGGGCUGCCUAUAGCUGGGCCAGUGCAGGCUGGGAGCCAGAUUGAGGGCAUUCGAUUCCCAGUCCCUCUCUUUCCCACUGAGCCACUGAGCCACUCCGCCUCGCUUUUAAUUUAAUUAGGAGAACAUUUAAUCCCCCGUGCAUUUCAGAGACGGGUUUGAGCCUGGCCGGGGCCUUGUGGGGCUCUGACAGGGAUCCUGUGACUCAUACAGCCUUGCACAGCCCUCCCGGGAGGGCUCUCAUGGGGCUUCUUUGGCACCUUAUGCAGACAGAGGUGGUCUGGAUAUUCACAGAAGACAGGACACUAGUCUGGAAAGACAAACUGGUCUCAUCUGUUCUUGACAAGUCCCCUUCCCUAUCCUCCUGGACACUGCCCCCAACAUGGCCCCUCCAUCUUCUCCCAUCAUCAUUUGCAGGUUGAGAAGCCAAGUAAGAGAAAUGGGUGCUCACUGAGGUACCACAGCAGGCCCUGAUUGUCUCCAGGCCCUGAAUAUCCCAGGCAAAGCAGUCCCAUCAGAAGAGCUAGCCCCCUAGUCCACUAAUGCUCCCCUUCCAGAAGGCAUAGGCUGGCCCCAGCCUCGCUGACAAACGCAGAAUUCAGGAGACAUUAGUAGUGAUGUGGAUGAAAGCCAGGCCACAGCGGGCCUCCCUGGAAAAGAGAAACUCGAACGUCUUGGCGUGAGAUUCUGCAGGGUCCAGGAGAAAGUUGAAGACAUGGAAAUUCUAAUUAACGCACGAGGGGCUGGUUUUGCUCAAAGAUUUUUGAAGCUGUCAUGUCAAAAGAGGCCCGGCAAGCACAUGCUCGCCCGGGAGGUGCUUGUGGGCACCUGGUGGGAUUCUUGCAAUGUCCUAGCCUGUAUUCUUACUUUCCCUCUGUCCUCUAGACUUUUCUCCACCCAUCUUGGUAAACUGGUGGCCCCUGAAUGUCAUCCCAGAGUGGGAUGGCAGGCUGGUUAGUAAAUAAAUGUUGAGGCUUCCAGUUGAAAAUGUCACAUCAAAAAAGUCUGAGGGCUCAGGAACCAACCUCUUGGAAGAAACCUUUAGGGAAACUACAUGGCAGAGCCAGGCUGAGCUAUAGGCUGCUGUGCUUGUGGUAGGCUUGGCAUUUGGGGAUGUUCAUCUUAGAUAUCCUUGUGCAACGGAUGGGGCAAUGGUUCCAGACAAGUUCUGAUUGAUUCAUCGGCUGGAGGGUGGGGUGAAGUGGCUGUAGGAGAAGCUCACUGAGGUCAAACCCAGACAUGCUUCUUUAGCGUUGAGCUAUAGGUGCUCAUGUCCUGGGCCCUGUGUAUGUCUCGGCAUCUAUGGGACGUACCUGGAGACCUUGCUUCAUUUCAGGCAAGGCUAAUGAUGUGCUUUCUGUGUCAGAGUAGGACUGGCAAUCUUAGGGUUCUUUCAUCCUGGAGUUUUGGGGAGUGCUGGAAAAAGAGUGGCCAUGAGCAGCCACAACACUCUGCUGCUUGCCUGACCCAGGCUAGAAUCAGGGAGCUUUGAUGAUAGCCUCAAGAUGAUGUGAGAGGCAUUCCUGGGGAAAGGGAGGACUGAGUAGACACUGGAAAGAUGUGCAAUUCUGAUGGCUACAGGACCGACAAGGACAUUCCAGCUGGUGGGAUGCAAAUGAGCCCUUGCCAGUUAAUCCCAGUAAGCAGAAUCCUGGAGACUUGCCCUAUUAGUUGUAAAGAUACUCCCCAUCUCUCGUGGCAGUGGGUCUCUAUUUCCUACGUGGCCCUUAGAAGUCUGGAGCAAGGCUUUAGAUAGAGGAUUCAUGUUGAGGGAGAUUGAGGAGUACAGGGCUCCCUUCCAGUGAUGUUAGAACCAGGAAGACAGCAUCUGACUGAAAUAUGUAUGCAACACCGAGGCCCAGAUAUCCAGAUCUGGACGAUGCCUGGGGCUUACUUGAGGAGCUGCUGGUACGUGCCUGUUGAGCUGGGGUCAGAGAAGCAAUAUUGUCUUCUCAGCAUCCUUCCCUAUUUACCUCUCUGGUUUUCAAUAGGCCUGCACCUUGGCCUCUCUGUCCCCAAACUAUCAGUGGCCAACCGGCUCUGAAAAGAGGAGCUUCACCCAGCCCCAGGGACCUUCCCAUAAUCAAGGCUACAGUGACCUCACCUCCCUAGGGCCCCUGGGCGGGGAGAGCUUGAGAUGGAAACAAAAUGUGUCUUUAUUUAUGCUUUUAAUUUGAAUUCUGGAACUGGCCCAGCAUGGUAAUACAUUUAACAUCAGUAAAAUGCUGAAGAAAAAUGGAUCUGUUUUUCUGCAACUGCUUCCCACCCACUCUGCUCCCUGCAAGACCCUAGUACACAUCUCUGUCCCUGGUAGACACGUACGAGGGUGUGUGCCUCUUUUUUCAGUGUAGGUUCAUAGGGCCAGCUGCCCACAGGAGCCAUGCUGCAUCAGUGAGCUGCUGGAGCCUAGCUUAAUUACAGACAUCAAUCAACAGGCUGACUAUGCAAGAGGCAAAGGAAUGCAGCCCUGGUGUGGGCACGUGGGCCCCUUACACAGUACCCAUGAUGGCCUAUCUGCUCCCCUAGAAUGGGGAGGGGUCUUGGUAAGGCCAGUAGUCCUGGGAGCACAUCAGGUUCUAGGACCCAGACACACACCAGGCCUAUGGUCAUGCUCUCUGCUAGGACUUCCACCAAGGAUGGCACUAGACUUCUACAGAUGUGGGUGUCUAAAUUCUUAGAUGCCUCAACCCUGACUCCAACUCUGCUUUGACCAGAUUAUAUUUUUUGCUUAAGCCUAUGAUCUCUCUAUCUCUACCUUAGGUCUUUUAACUCAGCCCCACCGUGGGCUCCUCCUUUCCUCCUUUCCCACCUUCCUAGAUUGGCUUGUUCCCAGCUGCUGCAUUUGGAAUAAGUUGGCCUAGAAAGAGUCUUGGUGUGUUCUUGGGUAGAGACUUGACUGGAUAAAGACUGUCCACCUACUCAGGUUCCAGGAGUGCUGGCCUGAGAAGAGCUGUGGUACCUGGAAAGAUGGUGACACACUAGGCCUAUAGAGACCAAGAAAGCAUCAUUCAUGUCUCUGAGGUUCUGUUACAGAUCUGUUAUCAGAUUUGGCCUAGUACUCUGAGCAGAGUCGUCUAAGUGGCUUAGGGCUGCUUCUAGAACAGAUAGACAGUAAAUGUCUGGCUCCAGGAGCUUUGAGUAUACUAAUACCAGCACAGGUGGCCUUUUGCCCCCAAAGGUGUGGUUAUAGGGCAUCUAUGGACUGAACUAUGGUCAUGUAUCACCAGUUUCCACCCUCCCUUGGGACCUCGUUGGUGCUCACAGUAGCUAGGAGAUGUGAGACACAUCUAUCAAGGUAGAUGGUUUGUUGAGAGCGCUACUCUCAUUGUAGCUGCUUCUGUGUCUGGAGGUUGCUCCAUGGCCAGAAGAAUAAAAUGGAAUGGAUACCAAUGAGAGGUGAGUGAUCAGGGGGAUAAGAAGGCUGACUGGUCUUUCUAGGCGUAGGCAAUUCCCUGAGGCCUGCUAUGGUUGCCAUGGUGCUACUUACUAUCCUUACUCCUAAGCAGGCACUGGCAUAUCCAACACCAGCCACAAGACACCAGUGUUUACACUUUGAGUUGUCUCAUGCCGUGGACUUGAUGGAGAGACUUAACCAUAGUGUAAGCUAUUUUUCUACCCUCUGACGCCAGCCUAUACCUGCCUAGCCUGUCUGGACUCCUGUUCCCACACCUCUGUUCCCGCUUGCUAAUGCAGCCAGCCUGUAAGGCUAUCUUAGGAGGGAGAGUGACCCCUGCUUCUCAAUAACAUUCUCGCUCUCUCUAAACCCAUGAACCCUCUCUACAUCUUACAAACCACGAGGCACUGCUAACCUCGUUUAAGUUUGGGUGGUCUGGGAAGAUAGUGGGCAUGCCUUGUUUGAUCAUAAUCAUUCCUCUGACAAGCCUGCCUUCCCCCAGGGUGGCCUCAACUUGGCUAUCUGGUUACUUAAGAAACCCCCAGCACUGUGAGUCCAAGUUUCUUCAGUCAUUGUAAAGUCAAGCCUGAAAUCUAGGCAUAGGCCAGAAGCGUUAUGACUACACAAGGUUAAGGACAUGAAUUUUAGUAGAAAGAGUGGAAGAGUCUCAGAAUGCGAAUCUCAGGAAAACUAAGAGCAUGGCAUUAACAUCCUGGCACAGAAACACUUUUCUAGAGGAGUGCCCCGUGGGGCAGUGGUCAGAAGCAGUCUGAGUGACCUGCCUCCACCACAUCGCUGCCUCUCCUGAGUUUUGGUAGGAACAUUUGAGUCACAUGUUGCAGAGAAAUCAUGGCAUGGCUGGGUACUAGGGUUUGUCCUGGUGAUGCCUUGAUGGGGGCCCAAAUGGGGGGAGAGGAUGGGCAUGUGUCCCAGGCCAGCUGUGCCUGGGGGAAGGCCAACUGGAAGGCGUAGAAAAUCAGCCAUUUCCUCCACCUGAAGGAGCCCCUGAGGACAGUAGUGGCAACUAGCAUCUGCCCCAUGGCUUUGGCCAAAAUCCCACAGGGAAAUGCUAAAAAAUAAUGUUAACUCUCUUGAAGGAGUGGUGGAGGGGUAGAGGGGAGGAAAACAACAACAACAACAACAACAACAAAACCAACCCAAGUUUCUCAGACGCUCAAAGCAUGCAAACAAGUGGAAAAUGAUCAGUCUGGUUUUCCAUAAGUCAAAACAAGAGGAUCAUGUUUCCAGAUUCAGUGGGAAAGCCCCUGCCCUUCUCUCCUGCCUGAGCCCUGAGGCCAGCCCCAGCAGCCAGUGUCCCCAGGUUCAUAAGGAUAGGCAGUGAGUUGUGGGUACUGGGUAAAUAGACUGCAUCCCAGCAAGAGGAUAAGCUUUGCCCUAUGCUAGGGCAGUUCCCUUGAGCCCCAGCCUUUGAGGGCAAAUGGACACUCACUGUGACACAUGGGUGAUGGGGGUCAGCAGUGUCUCCCCUUCCAGGUCCAGGUCCUCUGCAAAGCUGUUUGUUCUCAAGAAAUGGGGUGUGCUUACUUCCAGCAGUGUAGGGCUCUUCCUUACUGUGAAGAAGGUAUGGGGACAGCUCAUUAGGCUUCAAUAGAAACUUGAUCAUGAAGGGGAUCCAGAACUGGACAGAACUAGACUCAAAUGUCCACCCCAACCUGCUAUUGCUAUGGGAUAAACCUGUAAGCUCUCAAGAUCAGGUGAAGAGUGAGGACAGAGCUUGGAAGUUUUAGCCUUACCCAUCAGGUUGGUUUACACUGAGUGGAAUAAGUGAGUGGGCAUUCACUUAUUCCAUUCACUUAUGCCCAUUCACUUAUUGAUUGGUCCCCAGGUACCUGGGGACUUAGCCUCCCAGGGUAAACCAUAGAGGCUGGUACAUUCUCCCCAGUGUUGUAGCUGCCCUGGGGCUGAGUUCCAGGACUGAGUAAGGUUCUGCCCUAUGUAUGUUAAGUUCUAGGCCUCUCACCAGCUUCACAUAAAACAUUUGUGCCAAGAACAAAUGAAAGCACUGAUCUCCACUACUGUGCUAUUCACACACAUACACUGACAGAUCAGUGGACCAUGCAACAAAAGGUGCUAGUACCUCUGCUUAUCAGGAAUCACAAGCUGAAUUCCUUGUUCUGGUCAUGAUGCCUUAUUAACCGGGUUCUCUCUGAGGGAGGCCUCCAGACUGUCCCAAUAGCUGACUUCCAUAGCUCAGGGCACUGAUCCAGAUUAGUCUUCACAGCAUUUCCAGCUUACUAGUGUUUGCUCUCAACUCACUUCUCCUUUAAAGUAUCUAAUAUAGUAUUAAGUACUUCUGAUGAGUGGAAUAUUGAAAAAUUCACAGUGGUCCUCAAUUAUAGGAAUCAUCUGCUGCCCGGGACCCUGGCUUUUCUGGUAGCACAAAUGUGAGGUCAUAAACUUGGGCAGACUUCUGUUCUUGUCAGUUUUUCUUACUCUGCGACAUUCUUUUCUUUAGGUAUGCAGCUAUGCAUCUAAUGAUCAUUUUAGCAGCACAUGAGCCCAUAGCUUAGGUCUACCACAAUUAACUUUACUCAUCCCAUAUUUUAUGGAUGUUCAGUCUUGUAGUUUUAUGACAACCAGACAGUGAUGUAAUAUCCAUCUUCGUUGUUAAAAGUUGUUGAUAUACUGGGCAGGUGAGAUAGCAUGACUUUGGUAAUAUUAAUAAGUGUUUUUGGAUUGUUCUUCUGUUAAGUUGUAGCCAACUAUUCCUCCCCUUCAAUUUUGCUUGGCCUUUUAAGCAUGGAUAAACACUGAGGCUUUCUCAUUUUCAAAAUUGUUAUUAGUUCUUUGAGACUAUGAUCAACGAACUUUGAUCCUCAACCACCUUCUAACUUCUCAAUUUUGUAUCCUCUUGUUUUAAAAUUCAAUAAUUCAUCAACUUCAGUUUGUGCUCUCCAUGUAAUUCUGGGUGUGGGGGCUGUAAUACUGCAGUAUGAAUGACCCACCAGGAGUUAGAAUGUUAAGGAAAAACUCUCCUUUCCCAGGAGCCAUUAAUUGUCCAUAGCUUUUCAAGAACCUCUUGGGGUUCGUGAAAUUCUUGUACUCAAUGAUACAGUGUUGACUGGCUUGAUCUUGUGUAGGCAAUCAUGCAACUGUCCUGUCAUGCCCAGAAGUUAGUUUGUUCCAGUCGUCGCCUAUCUCUGGCUCUUACAGUCCUCCCAUCCCCUUUUAUAAUGGUCCUGGGCCUGUGAGAGGGGGAUGGUUUUCUCAUUUUCAUAUUCACUGACUGCUUCUGGCUUGUUUGGGAUUCUUCUUUCAGAAUUGCCCGUUAAUAACCUUUGCUUGGCAUUUCAAAGGAACUUUUAAUUCAUUAGAGAUAAUAACCUUGUGUUACAUGAAGCAUAAAUAACUUUCUUGGUCUAUGUUUGUCUUUUUAACACUCCGUUGUUUUAUCAUAAAGACUGUCUUGUUUUUUUUACAGUGAUGCAUUUACUUUAUGGAAUGGGUUUCCCACAACUACUACAGCAGUCUUUUACAUUUAUUUCCAAUAUAAACAUACAAAUGUGGGCAUACAUCUGUAUGUGUAUAUAAAUUUUAACACAUUUAGCAUUUAUGUGUAAUGCAAAGGAUGUUUAGAAGUCAUACAAUGGAAAUACAAGAACACUAUAUAUAGUCUUUUAAAAAUCUGAAAUAGAACAUAAAACUAAAAAAAAAGUUAAGAAAACUUCAAAAUCUCUAGGACUUUAGAUUUGAAAGAGAAUUGAGAUGCAACACCGAAAACUUAAUCCAAGUGGGGGAGGGGACUCAAUUUUAUUAUAAUUAGAAACAAAUGAGUUAUUCCUGCAACAAGUGCAUUUUUCUAAGUAGCAACAGAAGCAAGGAGGAACAGGCUCACUGACUGUUAAAAUGCUGUGCUUUGUGAAGGCAAUGAGACAAGUCACAGAUUUACUGCAUAUCACUUAAUGGAAUCAAGGGCCUUGUACCCAGAGUAUAUAAAGAAGAAUGAUCAUAAUUUGACAACAGUGAAGCAAACAACCCAUCUUAAAAAGUGGAUUACAAAUAAGCAUGGGAAAUUGUGCUCAGCCACAGUCUAUGGUCUUUAUGGAAAUACAAUAUUAAAGCUUCAGUGAGAUAACCCUGAAAAUUAUCAUGAAGAUGGAUAAAGCAUUAAAUUAAAACCUUGUAACAGCCAGCACUUCAAGGAGGCAGAAUGACUGCAACCCUCAUGUGCCCGAGGUGGGAAUGCAAAGUGGCCCAACUGCUCUGAAGAACAAACUUCAUAGCCUUAUAAACACACAUAUGAUUUAUGACUCAGUGUAUGGGAUAUUUAAGUUCACAUAAAUCUGCACACAAAAAUAUACAGCAAUUUUACCUCUAGUUGCACCAAACAAGUUAUAACCAAGAUGGCAACAGUGAAAUGAAUAAAGAAAUCGUGGUGUGUCUAUCUGUCCCACCUAUGCAGUGGAAUAAUGUCCAGCAAUCAACUAGAAUAUUGGAGGAUCCUGGGACAGAUAAUAGACUAUGGUGAGUAGACUGUGUGUUGUGAAUACAUGAUAGAGCACUGAAGAGAGAAGGUGGGGUCUGGGGGAGGAGGAACUUGCUAACGUUGCUUUAAAAAAUAAUGUUUGGACUAAAGAAAACCUAGAGAAAAAAUACUGACAUAAACACAAUAUUCUUGUAGAUAAUUUUGUUUCACACAGGGGUACUGUAUAUCAAGGAUUAUACAAACCAGUAUCUAUACUAGAAAAUGGGAGCUGAGGACAAAGUAAGGAUAAUCAGAAACAGUAUAAACUCGAGGUAAGCUGCAUAAAGAUACAAACCCUGAAACAUGGAUGUAUAUAGACUUUCAUUAUAGACAUACAUAUUUCCUAGUUCUACCUGCAGAAAGGAUAUGUUAUCAGUGACCCUUUUGUGGCAAAGAACACACUCUGUGCCCAGGUCAUAUAUAACACUGUUAGUCUGCCAAUAAAAGCGAAUAUGGCUCCUUGGAAGAAUGGCCGCUUCUGGGGCUAGCACAGGGAAACUACACGAUGAACCUAAAAGGAACUAAAUGGAAAGCAUGUCUAAAGGGCUCCUGUACAAGUGGCUAAAGUAGAAAAAGGUUAGCCACAAAACAAUAAUCCUCAGCUAUACCCCAGAAACACAGUUGCCAAGUCCGUCUGUAUUUCUAAAUAACUGAAAGUGAGAUGAAAAAAGUGAUCUCUGUAAGUGUAGAAGGAACGAGUUAACCAGAAGUGCACCGUAGAAAUGCUUGAAAGAUCCGUGGAUGAAGGCUAGAAUAGAAUUAGUAGGUGAAAUCUUUUUUUUUUGUAAUUAUUCCUUCAUUCUCUUUAUUGAUCCAUGUUGAACAUAUACAAUAAACUAAAAAGCCACUUUGUUCAUUUAAUUAUCAUAUAUGAUUGUAUUGUCCAUUUUACAGUUAUGUUGUUUUCCAGUGACAUUGAUUGAAUCCCGGGCUUUGUUCAUGCUAGACAAGCAUUCUGCCACUACACUACAUCCUUAGUCCCAAAAUAAAUUUUAAUUGCUUUAGUGAUUUUAACACAUUCACAGAGUCUCUAAUACUCUUUGCAAGAGAUAGAAUGAAAUUCCUCAUUCUCCGAAUGUUGGCCAGACCUGGUGACUUGCUUUUAAUAACUAGGUCUAAUAAAGGUGAAAUAGUGGGUCAAUUACAGUGAGCUAUUUAAUCAUGUAAAGUUGACACCAUGGUGAUGGAAGAAAAUGAGAAAAGCACCUUGCCUUAAUGACAUUUACGACACCUGUAACCCUAUUCUAAUUUUGAGAGAAUGUUAUACAGACCCAGAGUAGCACUGACAUUUGAUAAGUAUUUAAAAGCAUCAACUCCAGUGACAGUACUGACAGGACACCAAGGUCCUGCUGAAUGAGCGUGAUGGUAGAUAUUGGACAGGCUCUUGGAGCAUCAAACUGGGAGAAAGACUAAAGUGUAGCUCUACAGCAUUGUAUUAAAUUAAACUUGUUUUAGUUUUUAAUCAAAGUAACAUGGUUAUGUGAGGUACUUCGUGAAAGGUACAUUGCAAGACUAUUUUUUCUUUUACAAGAAUAUGUAAUAUAUGCAAAUAAAACACACAAAUUAAAAGGGAAAAGAAGCAGAAUAGUAGAAAAGAAUCUCUAGUGUAUAAAGAUAGAUUAAAAACUAUUAAGAAAAGCACAAAACUUUAAACAGAGACACCGACAAACAGAAAACUGCCUUUAUUGCAUUGACAAAACACUCAAAAAAUUCUGAAAAAUCCUAAAUUUUAAUUAAAAUCCUAAUGUUUGUGGUGAAUACUCUGACAAGUGGAUUCUGAGAUGUAUUUGGAAGUGUAAAAGACCAGGGAAAAGUAAUAUUCUUUAAGAACAGGGUGGCUAAUAGGCUUAUCAAAAACAAGUACUUCAACAUAGUAGUCAUUAAUACAAUGUAGAACUGAUUCAAGGAGAGACUUAACUGGCUAGUGGGAUAGAAAUGGAUGUCAGAAAAUAGCCUACCCAUGGACACUUGCAAUGUAUUAAAGGCUUACUUAUCAUGAGAUGGCCUUUUAAAUGACACAUUCAAGGACAAGGAAAUUCACAUGGGGAAAACACUGAACUGGGCCCUUAAUUUUCUCACAGCGUACAUUGAAAACACAUUCUUGGUGUUUCAGGGCUUAUGACAAGUAGAACUAGAAGGACCAUAGGCCUGGAUAUAGAAGAAUAUCUACAUUGCUUUGGGGUAGAAUAACUAAGAAGCAAUAAUCAAAAAGAAAAAUAGCAAUUUAGCCACAUUCAGAGUCAAAACCUAGAUAUCUAAAUACAUUUUAAAUAGUAAAAAGGGAUUCAAAAAUGAUAAAACAUAUAAAAAGUUAGGUAAAUCAGUAAGAACAAAUAGAUAAGUCUGGUGGCGCAGGUCUGUAAUCGUAGCUACCUAGGAAGCUGAGGAAGAAGAAAUAUUAUGUUCAGGACCUUGCUGGGACAACAGUGAGUCAAGAUAACUCUCAAAGAGCAAAAUGAGGGCUAGAGAUGGCUCAGUGGUAGUGUCUUCCCACUAGGUAUAAGACCUUAGGUUUAAUUCUCUAGUACUGAAAAAAAUGACCUAACCGAAAAAUAAGCAAGACACCCUACACCCACCCCCUUCAAAAUGAGACAAGAAUUCAAAAGCGUGAUGAGCUUAUGGAAAGGUGUUGUGCCUGACUAGCAAUCAGGGAAAUAUAAAUAAACUCAGGAGCUCAUGGCCCAAGGGGCCAGCAGCAGACUUCCAGCAGGAAACUAUACAGACAUUACUUAGUCAUAGCUGGAAGAAGGGCUCAAGUAAAGGGCUCUGUGCCUGUGACAUCCUCAGAGAGACCAGGGAAAGACCUGUAAACCUUGAGGAAUGUGUGCACAUGAAGAGGCCCACAGGUCUGGGACGUGGUGGGAGUAUGUUACUGUUCCCAUUCUAGAGACUCAGGGCUGAGAUUCAAGUGUACUGGGUUAUAUUAUACACUUGUCAAGUCACAGCUACAACUUCAUCCAGGAUUCAAAUGUUCUUUUGGAAAAAAAAAGAAAAAGAACACAAAUACAUAUUUCAGUACUUGCAUCACUUGUAUACACAAGAAAGGAGAAGCAAAGAGGUGACUGGAAGAGGGGGCUGUGUUCUACACACCCAGAAUGACAAGUGCCAUCUCCAAGCCUGAGGGCCCAGGGUGAGCCCCUCAACUCCUGAGAAAGGCUCUGUCCUGGUAUUAGGAAAUUAAAAUGUGCACAUCAGUUGGCUGUCCACAGCGGGCGGGGCCUGCACCUGCCAGAGAGGAAUGUGGACUCUUUGGUUUAAUCCUGGGAAGGGUUCAUGGGGCCCCUGCAGUGAGGGUCAGAGAGGGGCUCAGCACAGUUGUUUUUCCAAGUCAAAAGGAGAGACUGUUGUCUGCUAGGCAUGUUUCAGAGACUUUAGGGGUGCUUCUCUUUCAUGGGAGAAACACUAUUCAGGACUGCCACCCACUUUAUAUUUGGAUCUGUACUCACAGCCAGGUCAGACAUCUCAAAGAUUCUGAAAGGGAGUUGAGAGGGCAGGGUUUCAACUUAAACACACUGGUGGUGCUCCUCUUAGGCAAGAGCUUGGGGCAAGUAUUGUGUUCUAAGAAGCCCCAUUGGGCACUUCAUCUCUGAAGAGCCCAGAGUUUGUCUUUCAUAAAGAUAUAAAAAGAUAGCCCAACUGCAGAACAAACUGAGACCAUGGUGAAUGUGACAAGGGUCAUAUGACCACUUAGACCCUGUGUAGAGGAUACUAGAGCAAUGUCAGGUGUUCUCUUCUGAACCAACCAAUGUCAGUGUACCUGGUCCUGGAGGAAAAGUACUGUUUCCUAGUGACAGUGAAGUCACAUUUUCCUAAAACGAUUCUAGUUUUUGAUGCUUUCAUUCCUUGGCUGCUUCUGUCUUGUCAGAGCCAGAAUCUGGACCUAAGUGUGCAGGGCAGAACAAAACAAUUUUGUUUUCUAGGAAAAUGGGAGGUCUGGAAUGGCGAAUGUAGCCUCAGGCGUGGCAACUGCCCCAGCUGGGACUACCCACUGCCAAGUUUCACCCUCUCUCAAGAGAACCAAAACCAGACUGUACGCAGCAUCUUCCUUCUCAGCCAAAGGGCCUACUCGUUAGGGUGAUUUGCAUUGUACUUAAGCAUUGAAAAAAAAAAAAGACUGGAAGGAAAUAGAUCAAAAUGUGGUAUGUUUGCCUGUGGAUUAAAGGACUUCAAAUGAUUUUCAUUUCCUUCCUUAUAGUAUAUGUAUUUUCUAUUUGAAUGAAUGAUACAUUUAGAAGUCAGAAAAACAGUUCAUACAAGCCUCCUGUAUUUGCCUUGCCCUCCUCAUCCUGGGGUUAGCACAAUGCAUCUAAGUGUCCUUACUCAGCCACCUCCUCCAGUCUGUCCUUAAGAUGCCCAAGAGACCCAAUGACACAGAGCUCCUACUUCCCAAGCUCUCCAAGACCUUCCCUUUCCUAGCUCCAUUACUCCUGCAUUGAGCUCCCAGACUUUCCCUCUGCAUACCCGAUCAUCUGAGCAUUCCAAGUCCAACUCUCUGCAAGGCCCCAGGCCACCCUGUUGCCCACUGCCCUCUGCUGAGACUUGCUGGUGUCAGUAACUUCACCCAGCUGCUCACCCCUGCCCUCCUCCUCCUCCUAACUGAUUAUAAUCCUGCCUGAUCUCCCAGAUGUAACCUAAACCACCUUCCUAUGUAAGCUCCCCAAGGCUCUAGAGAUUGCCCCUUCAAUUGCUAUGGGGCUUAUGUGUGCCUGGCCCUCAGCACAGGAACCUUGCUUUCUUCCUCUCCCAUGUCACCUCCGGUGCCUGGCACAGGCAAGUCCCCUGAGCCAGCUCACUCCGAUGGAAUAAACAAGCUGCCUAUGUCCUCCCCUAGCAGAGGCCCUUUCCCUGUCCCCCCUCAAUCAAUUUCCCCGUCUUGGUGGAUUUGCCAAAGCCCUGUGGAUCCUGCACCAUGAAGGAAAAAAAACCCUCCCUAGGGCAUCUGGACAGCUGCAGCCAGGUCCUGCGUGACAUUGCUGAGCUGCAGCCCCACAGCCUGUGCCAGCUGCCCAUGCCCUGUUCACAGACCCUGAGCCAGACCAGACCCAACACCACCUGUGUCUUCACUCAGAGGGGAGAAGUAAGAGACAAGGACAGAAAGUGUAAAAGCUAUUCCCACAACAGCUGCCAGGAACAAGGCGAGAGUGCAGUGUAAAUGUAUAUUCACAGCUGGUACCCAGUUCCGCUUAGGAAAAUACCUUGCUUGAGUGGACACCUGUUGUUUUUGCGAACUCUGCAACCAGGCCUGGCUUCUGGAAAUAGUUCACCGAAUCUUCCUUAAAGGGGUCCUCAUUUCCUACUCCCCAGUGUGUAAGAUUUAGGAAUUCAUUGGCUAUUUCCAAAGGGGGCUUUGUGGCUGGAUCACAACUUCAGAAACAUAGUUGCACUUAUAAAGAUGGCUUGUACUUUGGUUGGGAGCAUUGAGAGCCUAGCCUGAGCCUGUGGCAGAAAUCAUUUGGAAAAAGUCUGGCAUCUUUCUUCUGGUACAUGUAAAAUAGUGGACAUCUUACAUUUAUUGGAAAGUGAGUGUUUAAGGACACAGAUGAAUAUAGCUAUGCAUGUAUCUAUAGGCAGAGAGAGGGAAAGAGCACAAAAAGGACAGGGUAGAAGGAGGAGAGAAAGCAUCACCAGACUAGCUCUAGCUGUGUCUGGAACAGCCAGGUUCAGAUUCAUAAACUAGAAAAAUGUCUCAUUGUCCUUAUCUAGAUUGAAAUGGGCUCUGCAGUCUGUUACCAAGAGCACUUAGGAAUAUAAAAAGCUAGGGGUAAGAUAUGAACCUGAGGAGAUAGGUCUGGGGGUAAGUCUAGGUUGCAAAACACAGCAAACAAAACAACAACAAACACCCUAAGACAGUCUUGUUAAGCUUUGCAGAGUAGAAGACAGGAAAGAAGAAGGUUAGCUAGAUAAAUCUGGCCCGAGGCCCCAGCUUCAGCUCUACAUGGGCCAGGAAACUCUGGGAAAGGUGCUUCGUACAGCUGUCCACUGACUUUCUACUGUUAUAAUGCAAACUUCUCUUUAGAGAGCUUCUCUCUCUACCCUGUGUUUGCAGCACUUUAUGGAACAUGCUGUAUUUUGUGUUCAAGCAAAGACUGAGGAUACAUUUAACUUGAGAUGGACAGUGACAUGACAGUUGAAGAUGACCUAUGGAAUCCCAAGAAAUCCUAGGAACAAUGCUAGGCUUUGUGCAACUACAGAGUUCAUAGUGCUGGAGACUUUUCACUGAAUGCCUUUUCUCAUAAUGGAGAUAACAGGCCUAACACAUAAAUCUCAGAGUAAAUGGAAAUGAUUCUGUGGGCCCAAGGGUGGGGUCUGAAUGGUAAGGUGCUAAAGAGGACAGGCAAUGACAGAGCUAGCCCUAAGCAAGCCCAGGAAGCAGAGCAUGAGUAGCACAGCUGCCUGCAGAACAAAACUAGUCUACCCAGCUUUCCAUGCUGCAAGAAGUCACUGUCCAGGUCUCCCAAGACACAUUUGGAAGGGAAGGUUCCAGGCAGCAAGAGCGGCCCCAGGAAACUUUAAUAUACAAUGGAAUCUGGGUUAAGCACUAUCUUCUCCAAAAGUUGAGCUCACAGGACAUUCCCCAGAAACCUCUGGAGAGGUGGGGAGGAAAGUUUCUGGAGGUCUUUGGACGAAGAAAACAAAAAAGUGGCCUUGAUUUUUCAAGGAGAAAUUACACAGGAAGAAAAAAAUGUUUUUAAUCUAAUUAAGAGCGAUCUUUUCACCUUCAUCACAACAUCACGGAAAUGUGCCAGUUCUUAACUUCACACAAUAAUCAAAGCAAUUAAGGAGAAGCCUUGGAAACUGGUGCAGAUGUUCUCAGAAUGUUUAAUGGGGAAAUGAGUUGCAGGCCUCAUUCUCAGCAUCCGGCUCCAGGCCCUGGCUACCAAAUCCAGACAUCUGCUGGGGCCCCACUCCCAGGCCUGGAGGGUGUGUGCUUGAGAAACACAGGUCUCUUCCCAGGCUGCCUCUAGCGAGGCCAGAUCUGGGGCCCCAGAGGCUCCCCAUGGUUCCUCAAGCCAGAGCCUGGACAUAGUCAGAAUCACCCCAGAGCUAGGGAGAAGCUUAAUGUCAAAAUUAUGUUAACAACUGAUGUCAAAAGUAAUCAACUCAAACUGGCUCCCUCACCCCUGCUGGCUGCAGGAGGACUAUGAGUAGAGGAAGGGGGGGCAAAGAGCCCCUGGCAGGGGCUGGGAGAGACUCUCUUCUUUGACCUCCUCAGCAUGAAGAUCACAUAAAGGUGUGGCAGCAUUGGUGCAGUCUGACUCUGUGUGCUUUGGUUCAAUGUUGCCAAGCUAGACCCGAGAAGCAAAUUAGUCCAUCCUUGAGUAAUUUUCAAAAAUCAGAAACCAUGUAGAAAGGAGGGUGCUGCUCACUUAGUAACUAGCCUGUUUUAGAGAGCAGAAGGGCAUAUGACUAAAGUUAAAUGGCUUGAAAGUGAAGACCUUGAUGUAUGGUUCAGGCAGCUCAUUAAACCACACUGGAAGCCCUGCUGUAUGGUACACACAAAGAACAUGGAAGAAAAGAAAACAUCCCUGGUUUUGAGGACACAUAGGCAGUAUGGGUCCUCACACAUGUACGACAUUUACCAUUCAUACUGUCUUCAUACCAAAGGCUUCUUAAUAAAAGAAAUACCAGAUAUGACUCCAGGGCUUUGUUUAAUGCAGGGUAGGCCAAAGGCAAUGGAAAGAAAUCUCUCAAAGUAAGCCUUCAGUGGAGUCAAUACUCCAGGUCCACAUUACUGGUAGAUCUUUAAGGAGUGUUGUAAGCUGAAUUCCAGCUGUUCACUAAAUAGACCACUUUCUUGGGAAGUAGCUGGCACAAGUUUCCUGUUAUUCUCUGUCCAUAAAUCUAGCCCCAAAAAAGUGAUAGGAAGGGGUUAAAGCCUUUAAGAAUGAAAGUAGCAUGAUGCACUUUUUAUCGAAAGAAUUUUUGGGAUUGCUAUGUAUAGGAUGUAGCAAAGGAAAGCCAGGGAGACUUGGGAGGCCAGUGAAGAGUGAAAGGGACAUCCAAACAAACAGACAAACAGACAAACCCCUAAACAAACAUGGUGGCAUUAGCAGGGGAAGAAGCUAUAGAAACCAAGAGUGGGAAAAGUCUAUAUGUGAAAAAGCAUAAUUUUAAAGAUUUGCAGGAAUGUUUGGAGAAUAACAACAUUCUACUCCCCCACCCCAACCCCUGGACUUCAAAUCUUCUCACUUACUCAAAAAAUCAGAACAAGCAAUUCAACAACAGUAAGAGCAAAAUAAAACCAUAUAUGAUCUAUUCCUUCAACAGUAGGCCAAAUACAUAGAAAUUACCCAUGAGAGGAGAGUCUGCCCACCAUUGUAUACCUGUGAGUGCAAAAGAAGAGGCCUACGAUGCUCUGUCAAAAGAGUGAGGAUGCUAAGUAGUGUCAACAAAAAUAAGGUUCCCCUCUCCACAGAAAUAUUUUUAUAGGAACUCAGAAUUAAUGUCAGUGAUUAAUUCUGGGAAGCAGUCAGUAAUUCACAGCAACCAAGUGAAUAUCACAAAAAGAAAUGGGCAAUUAAAAAGUGUUAGGGGCCCAGCAAGAUGAUUCAGUGGAUAAAGAUUCUUGUUGCCAAGACUAACAACUUUAGUUCAACCACUGGGAAAAAAACCCAUUUAGUAGAGGAAAGAACAAGUUUGUGCAAAAAUUACAGAAACUUGGGACAUUUUCACUUGUCCUUAAAUACUCAUCUUCCCUCUACUAAGCCUGGUUUGGUGGCACUGUUGCAGAUGAUAGGUAGUAUGGACCCUGGUCCUUGUUUCUGAAGUGUGCAGUACAGACCUUGUCUAAAAUAAUUAUUUAUGUUUUACAAUAAUUUUUUUUGUUUUAUAUUGUUUGUGGGUAGCCUGAAAGACUGACUUAAGGUGUUUUCAUUUUCCCCCCAAAUAGUAAUUGCGAAUUUUCUCAGUGUGAAAAAUAGUGGACAGUACUUGCAAACGCUGUAAGACCUUCAGAGCAGUUAUAAUGACUUGAGCAAAGAUCAGUGGUUGAAGCACACAGCGGCCCACUGAAAAGCCUCAGAAGGCAAUCUAGAGAGAGCUUCCUUGGAAUUUUAGAGCAUUUAAAAUAAUAGUAUGUGCUAAUAACUUACAAAACAUGCACAGAGCUAGAUGCUAAGAAGAGCCCUGACAAUACUACAAACCAGUAUCUAUGAGAGAUUUCUAUACGUAAGUUACCUCAAGCUACAAGUGAAAGCAAAGACAGGAUUGUUAAUAGUCUGUCCAAAUAUUGAAGGAAAAUUCCAGUUUAGUUAAUUUACAAAAGCUGGACGAAUCCUGCCCUCCUUUUAUACCUCGCUGUCAUAAUGAACUGAACAUAAAUGAAAGGAACAGAACUUCAAAGACCACACAUAACUUCACAAAAGAAAAAUAGCUUGGGAAUAAAUAAAAAAAAAGCUUAAAACCACUUAAGUAGCAUUAAAAAAUCUGGAGGCAGAAAAGAAUCUAAUGUCCACAGUUAUAAUAUAAAUAAUUGAAAAUAUAGAGCUUUAAACAAAGAAAAUAUGGACUAUACAGAGAAACAAUAACAAAGUUCCUUCCCACAGAAAGCCGAAAGAAGUAUAGACACACUGUACUUAACUUGACAAAAAAAUAAUUUUUAAUUAGGCUAGGAAUGUUUCAGCUGGAAAAGGGUCUUGAUACUUAAGCCCUGUGACCUAAGUUUGAGCUCCGAUCCCAUAUAAAGGUAUAAGGAAAGAACUACAUAAAAUCAGCCCCUAACCUAGAAAUGGGCACCAUGGCAUGUACAGUAAUCUCAUUGAUAAUAAAAUAAAAUUAGUCUAAGUUAUGCUGAAAGAUAAAAAGAAAAUGAUAAAGAACUAAAGAAAACAAAGAAUAUGAAGAAUGAGAUAAAAUUAGAAAAUGGAAUUAAACAAAUUCUAGAACUGAAAAGUAUUAACAAAUGAAAAAAUCCAUUAGAGGGUUUCAUCAGCAGAUCUGAAUGAUAUAAGAAUCAGUGGACUUAAGGAUCAAGUCUGAGCACCAGGGGGGGAAAAUGAGCAUUUCAAGAAUUCUAUGGUAAACUACCAAGUAUGCUAAUAUCUUUGUUGGAAAUCCCAAAAAGUAGGUGAAAGAAGGAGCAGGAAGAAGAAUUGACCUAGUGGCUAUGCCUCCCCAAAUUUGAUUAAAGACAAAAAUUACUAUGUACAGGAACAUAAGCAAAAGGACCCAGAAAUGAUAACUGAGUCACAGAAAAAUACACUAUCAAUUAUUGAAAGGCAGAACAGACGUUAAAAAGAAAAAAAAAGACUUUGCUUGUCAUGUAGUGAUUCUCAAUACAAUUAAUGUGUUUGUUAUCAGCAAGUAUAGAGUCGACUGAGAAUGGAAUAGCAUUUUUAAGUACUGAGAGGAAAAAAGUCUGUCAACCAACAAUUUUAUAUACAGCAAAAUUAUUCAAACAUGGAGAAAUAAUGAGCUUAAGAGCUUCUCAAAUGAAUAAAAGCUGGGAAGCUCAUACUAUAUUGGCUCUACAAAAACUAUUAGAGAAAGUAAUACAGUUUCAAAUAAGAAAGGACUAGAAAGUAACUGGAAACCACAUAGAGAUGCCCAGACCUUGAGGACCAGGUAGCUAUGUAAAACAUAAAAGCCAGUAUUAUAUAUAAUAUCUAAGUUUUUAAUGUUUAUUAUUUUUGUGAUAAAAGAACAUGAUAUAUACAUCUGGCAUAUAUAUCAUAUGUCUUUGGAUAUAUUCAUGCAAUAGAUAUAAAAUUUGAAACCAUGUAGAAUUGAAGGAGAUAGAGCUGUAUAGGAUCUUGAAUUAAUUUGUAAAAGUUGGAAGAAUCCUGCCCUCCUUUUUACCUGCUAUAAUGAACUAAACCUUAAUGAACCAAAUCUAAAUGAAAGGAACAAUAUUGAAACUAUGUUGGCAUAAACUCAAUCUAGAAUUUUGUAAAGUUAAGUGUAAUUAAUUCUCAUAAAAAUUAUUCAGAAAACAUCUGGAAAAGUAUAAAUCUCAACAUGUAAACAGCUUAGAAAUUACAGUAUCUCAACAAGUAAAAUGGUGAGUUGACUGAAAAGUCGAUUCCAUUUCUGUAUCAGAAAUGAAAAGAGUAAAACAAUGCCUUCAAAAUGAGGGGGGGGGGAGAGGUGAUGGGAGAUUGAAGGAGAGAGACAGGUAGACAUGGAGAAUCAGAACAUAUUACAGUAGACAUUGCUGGAAUCAGCUUGGCUAGAAAAACCUAAUUUGUGAUUUAACUGCUGGAGUUUAGAUGUAGAUAGAUGUAAGAACUAAAAAGUCAAAGGCACUAAGUUUUGGGAAGAGCCUUAACGUUUUCAUGAAGUACUUCAUCCAGGAGUUUGAUCAGAUUCUCAAUGCGAGUAGUAGAGAAAAAUUCCCUUGAAACUUUCAAUAUUGGGAGGGAGGAAAGCCAUUCUGAAAACAAACAAUAGUGUUUUUCGUCAAGGGUUUACCUUCAGGGAAAGUUAGUUUACUAGGUCUUAGCCAGCUAGGAUUUAUCACAAGCUAACUGAACUGACCUAAAGCAAUUCAAAUUAACUCUAGAUUUCUUGUGGAGUAGAAAUAACCAAACACCAGACCAGUUCACUUUAGCCAUCCUAUACCACCCAAGAAAAAAUAUUGAAGAAUGGUUGUGACAUUCAGUCAAGAGGCUCAGUAAAAGUGAGACCUAAACACAGAACUAUAGAAUGUUUCUUAUAUACGAAACCUUUCUGUAUUGUUAAUAAUGCCCAUUCAAUAGAAGUUCCUUUUGUCUGAUACAUCAUAUCUGCUGUCCACCUAUUGAAAAAAAAUACAAGGAUUCUAAAAGACAUUAACUUUUUAAAACAUAGCAGACAUUUCAGAUAUGUUGAAAUUAUCGGAGAUAUUUGAACUAUAAAACUAAGGACAACAUCCAAGGACAAUAGCAAGGAAGGAACCAAACUCAUAGGGAAAACACAAAAAGGGCUGGGAACCAGCAAUAGCAAUGUAUGAAAAAUACCCUCUGUAGACUCAUUUGAUUGCACACAGAUGAGAAAAAAAAUCAGAGUAUCUUUUUGUACAAACAACAAAAACUAAAAGACAAAAAUGAACAAAACAGUGAGAAUUUGGCUGAGUUGGUUAAGUGUUUGUCUUAUAUACGUAGGACCUGAGUUUGGCUCCCAAGUAAAAAAGUUAUCUAGUUAUCUCCAUUCCUGGGGCAGCAUUAGAAGACAUGUCAAUCCCUAAGAAUACUAGAAAUAGUCAUAUAGAAGCCAAAAACAAAACAAAAAUAAAAAACAAAUAGAAACCAUUUGAAACAACAGGAACUAAAAAUUUCCCCUAAAUUAUUAUCAUACAUUAAACAGUUCAGGAAGCUGAAAGAAUACCAAACAGGAUUAAUAACAAAACUUGCAUCUAAACAUAUCAUUAUCUACAGAAAAUCAAAUAUUUAAAAAGCCCUACAGGAACACCUACUAUAAAAUAGCAAUAGUACAAACCACAUCCAAUCUGUCCUCAGAAGCAAGAAGAGCGAAAUAACAGAACAAAACAAAUCGCUAUAUAUCAUUCUGCACUCUGCAAUUGUCUUAAGAUUGGCCAGUUAGGUAAGAUUUUGUUCAAAACAUCUAAAAAUGUGUUUAAUUAUGUUUAUGUAUACUUAAUUGAAAUGAAUGGUACCAGUGAUUUAUAGAGGAGUUAAUGGUUACUUUAGGUCAUACAAUGUAUGAAUUGGUAUGGUAUGAUUUGAAAGAGGGCUUAGCUUAGUUGAAAAUGUAUACAAGAUCCAGAGAAAUCACCCCAAAAUAAUGCUAGUAAACAAACUUUUCCAAAAACAGUAUUGCAAAUAUAUAGCAAAACAAGUUUGUAGUUACAGGUUGUAUCUUAGCAGCCUCCUGGGUCCAUUGUACCAGAAUCCCACAUAUAAAUCUCAUGUUUACAGUAGAUUUCAGAUUGGGAAAUCUGUUUUGCAUAGUCAUUGUUAUUUAAUAAGUAUCUUCACCCCAUUUUGUGGCAAUGCUAGUAGAGGAAAGUGAAUUGCUACUGAGCUAUAUCUCAAGACACUACCAUACCUUUCUAAUUGCACAAGCUCUAAUGCCAUCACACCUAAAAGAAGCUCUGAAUUAAAUACAAUAUAGUUCUUAACUCGUAGGUAUUACCUAAGAGACUUAAAGUGAUUUUUGAGCAGGCUAAAACCAACCAGCCACCACUACCACAACAAAAGAUAUCUGCUAACAAGCCAUCAGAUAGGAUAUAUCUAGUAGUAUUCCUGUUGUUGCCAUUGAUAGAAAAACAUAUCUCUCCCAGAACAUGAGAAAUAUGAGAAACAAAUUAGGGUAGGAUAAGGAAGGGAGAGUUGCUAUAUUUUCUUCUUGUUUGGGAGAGAUAGCUAUUUGUCAAAAGAAACCAACAUAAUACUAGAUAGAAACAUACCUCUCCGGAAUUAUAAUCUUGGUAAAGAGAAAAUUGGAAUAGGAAGGUGUGUUGACUUUCUGCAGCACAACUCUGUUUAGGGGAAAUGUCUGUUUGUCUUACCUGGCUUCUUGUAAAAGUAUGGUAGAUAAUAUGGCCCAUGAUAAUCUCAUUUCAAAGUUCCUAUCAAAGUAAGAUCUGCUUAUUCUCUAUAACCCUGUGGAUGAAGCCAUUUCAGAUAAAGAUGAGCAAAGGGUUACUAUGCUUUGAAGAGAAAUUACAGUAUUCAAAGAGAUCUUUAAGCCCAGACAUUGGAUUUACUAGACACAUACUUAAAGCAAUUAUUUUAAAGAGUUAAAUAUAUUGGUAAUCAUAAUAAAAAUAUAAGCUACAGACUAGGACAAAACAUUUAAAAAAUAUAUAAGGAGCUUCCCAAAACUUAAAAGGGCUGGGAAUGUAGCCUCACGACAAUAGGGUACUUGUCUAACAUGAACAAAACUUAAAAUUCUAUCCUCAUAAAUUGAAAAAAAUAUGUGUAUGACUGAAUUUUGCUUUCUGAUUUGAAAAACACCCAAACAAUAUGAAGUUAAUGAAUGGCAACUUUACCAAUAUGCAUCAGUUUUGCAGGAGAAACACCUCCAUUUAGCAUAGAUGUUAAAGACCCACAUCUUAAAUCCAAUCUCUAGAAGCACAAUGUUGAUGAAAGAAAGCCAGGCUUCCAAAGAACAUCAUCCCAUGCCUGAGUCAGUUUAGUAAAAUCUACAAAACUGGCCAAUGCAAAAUGAGCUCUAUUGUGAAGGAUAAAAAGACAAUGAAGAACAAGCAAUGGUAAGAUUAUGUUAGAUCAUCAAUUUGAGUACAUUGAUGAGAACUUCAAAACUAUCUAAGAAUGUGCAGUGAGGGGGGUAGGUAUCUUUUUGCCAUAUUCUCAAAUGAAAAAGCUUUAAAAAUGAAACAUUUUAGUUUAAACAUCUUAUUUCUUGAGGGUCUAAAAGAUUCUAAAGUUGUCAAUGUUCACUGAAACAAAAAAGAUGGUAAUCACAUGGAAAUGUCUUUUGUAAGAGGUUAAUAUACAGGGACCUCUUAGUUUUCACAAAGGUAGGAUUUAUGGGCAGGAUGAUAAACUUGUUUUCCUGAUAGACUUUCUUUUCCAGACUUAACAGGCAUAUGAGGAAAAAUGGUACACUGAGGCUAUGUAUAAGAAGAUAAUAGGCAACCUAAACAGAAAGCACCAUGCUUGGAUGGAUUUACUGAUAAAUUCUGACAAAUCUCAACUAUUUAAUGGAAGAAUGUAUACUAAAGGUUCUACAGUGUCUUUUAGAAGGUAGGAAAUAUUGCUUAACUCAUUUGUUGAGACCAAUGUUGCCCUUAUUUCUGUAGCAAACAACACAUUCCAAACAAGCUAAAUACCAGUAACUCAUGCUGUAUGUGUAAAACAAUACACUACGCAACAUUAAUAUGCCAAAUCCAAAAAUACCACAACUGCUCAGUGCUAUGGGACAUUAAAAACUAAGGUAAGUUAUCACAAGCAUAAAAUAAGUCACAGGAUUAUGUCACCAGACAGAAAUAUACAUCCGACAAAAAUCUUGACCAACCCAUGGUAAAAACAACAACUUUGGAACAUUUAGCCUCAGGUACGUAAUCAUAAGAAGUAAAAAGAACUUUUAUGAUUAUAUCACUGGAUACAUAUGAAUCUGACAAAAUUCUUUACUAACACAUGAUUAAAAAAAGGACCCUUGGAACAUUACCAAAUCAGGUAAGUAAUCACAAGAAGAAAAAAAAUGUUACAUGACAUGAUUAUAUUUCUGGAUACAAUAAUUCAUCUAGCAAAAUUCUUUACUAACUCAUGAUGUUUAAAAAGCCGUUUGGAACAUUAAAAAGUCAGGUAAGUAAUCACAAGAAGCAAAAAGAAGUUACAUGAUUAUAUUAUUGAAAUGCAUCUGGAAAAAUUUUAUAUCAAUUUUAAAAAAGCCCUCUAGAUUAUUAAAACCUCAGGUAAGUAAACACAAGAAGCAAAAAGAUGUUACAUGAUUAUAUAACUAGACAAAAAAUUUGACAACAUUCUUUACCAACUCAUGAUCAAAACAAAGAGCAUUAAAAUCUCAGGUAAGUAAUAAGCCAAAAGAAGUUACAUACUUAUUCACUGGAUACAAUUACCAACUCAUAAUAAAAGUAACAACAACCAACAACAACUCUACACAUUAAAAACUCAGGAUAGGGUUCACAAGACCCAAGGGGAAAAAAAAAAAGGUCUGACAACAUUAUUUACUAACUCAUGAUUAAAACAAAACAAACAGGAAAACUUCUGGAACAUUAAAUACUCAAGUAAGUGAUCACAAGAAGUAAAAAUAUCACUGGACACAAAAGUGCAUCUGAGAAAAUUCUUUAUUAACUUGUGAUUUAAAAUAAAGAAAAAGAAAAGAAAACCAAACAACUGGGGAUCAUUAAAAACUCAGGUAAGUGAUCAUAAGAAACAAGAAGCAAGAAAUAAGUUACAGAAAUCUGACAACAUUCUUUACCAAUAAUACCAAACAAAAAAUAAGCACACACAAAACCCUCUAGAAUAUUAAAAACUUAGGUAGCUGAUCACAAGACACAUGAAGCAAAAAAGAUAUUACAUGAAUAUUUCACUACACACAAAAACCUGACAACAUUCUUUACCAACUCAUAAUACAAAACAGAAAAAAAAAGCAUACAUAAGACAUCUGGAGCAUCAAAAGCUCAGGUAAAGAUGACAAGAAGCAAAAAGAAGUUACAAGAUUAUAUCACUGGACACAAAAAUGCAUCUACAAAAUUCCCUAUCAACUCAAGAUAAAGGAAAGAAAAGAAAAACCUAACAACUCUGGACCAUUAAAAACUCAGGUACAUGAUCACAAGACACAAGCAAAAAAGAAAUUACAUGAUUUCACUGACACAAAAAUGCAUCUGACAAAAUUCCUCAUCAACUCAAGAUGGAAGACAAGAAAAACCCAACAACUCAGAAACAUUAAAAACUUAGGUAAGUGAUCACAAGACGCACACACACACACACACACACACACACACACACACACACACACCCCACAGGAAGUUACAUGAUUAUUUCAGUAGACACAGAAACCUCACAUUCCUUAUCAACUCAACAUAAAAAACAGAAACAAAGCAAACACAAAAACCCUCUGAAACAUUAAAAACCAUGGUAAGUAAUCAAAAGACACACACACAAAACAACAAGAAGUUACAUGAUUAUUUCACUAGACACAGAAACAUGACAACAUUGUUUACCAUCUCAUAAUACAAAACAAACACAAAUCCUUUGGAAUAUUAAAAAAUCUCAUGUAAGUGACCACAAGAAGCUUAAAGAAGUUACAUGAUUAUAUCUUUGGACACAUGCAUGCAUCUGAUGAUUUUUUACCAACUCAUGGAUUUAAAAAGGGGGGAAAAUAAAACCCAACAACUCUGGAACAUAAAAAACAAAAAGUUACAUGAUUAUUUCACUAGACACAGAAAUCUGACAUUUACCAACUCAUAAUACAAAACAGAAGCAAGGGCUAGAAAGAUGGUUCAGUGGUUAAGAGCACUGACUGCUCUUCUAGAGGUCCUGAGUUCAAUUUCCAGCAACCACAUAGUAGUUAUAUAUCCAUCUAUAAUCUGACUCUCUCCUGACGUGUCUGAAGAGAACAACAGUAUGCUGAUAUACAUAAAAUAAAUCUUUUUAAAAACAAGCAAAACACAGAAACCCUCUGGAAACUUAAAAAGGUGAUCACAAGACACAGAUAGGCAAAAUGAAGUUACACGAUUAUUUCACUAGACACAGAAACCUGACAUUAUAAACUCACAAUAUAGGAACAAAACAAACACAAAACUCUGGAACAUUAAAAAACUCAGGUAAGUAAUCACAAGAAGAAAAAAAAAGUUACAUAAUUAUUACUGGACACAAGCAUGCAUCCAACAAAAAUUUUUAUCAACUCAUCUCAAAAACCCCAAGAACAUUGGAAUAUUAAAAGCUUAUAUAAGUGAUCACAAGACCCAAGAAGAAAUAACGAAGUUACAUGAUUACUUCACUAGACACAGAAAUCUGACAACAUUCUUUAUCAUCCCAUAAUACAAAACAGAAACAAAAAGACCACACAAACCCCUGGAACAUUAAAAACUGGUAAGUGAUCAGAAGAGACAAGAACCAGAAAAGAAAUUACAUGUAUGUAAUUUCACUACAUACAGAAACCUGACAACAUUCUUUAUGAACUCAUAAUACAAAGCAAAAAAGGCACACACACAAAACAUCUGGAAUAUUAAAAACUCAGGUGAGUGAUCACAAGAAGCAAAAGGAAGUUACAUGAUUAUAUCACUAGACACAAAAGUGCAUCUGACAAAAUUCCCUAUCCAAAAGAAAAAAAAAUCAGUAAACACUAUAAGGACGUCAUUAACUUUGUAAAUACCAUUUACCAAAAGUAUAUACCAAACAUAAUUGACAGGAAAAAAAGGGGAGGUAAGGAUGGUGCCCACUCAUUUUUCAAAAUCUUGUGGAAAACUCCUAAGUAAUGGACCAAAAUAAAGGGAAUAUAUAUUUUGUUUAAAAGGAGCAAAGUUUUGUUUUAAGUGGCAUUAUCUAUGUAGAUAAUAUGAAAGGACACAUAUACAAAUUCUGCAACUAUUAAGGGACCACAGCAAGGUUACAUGACUCAAAAUAUACAAUAAUCAGUUACUUUCCUAUAUGCCCCAAGUUAACGAGUGGAAUUUGAAACAAAGUACAUUAUUGCUUUGGCAUCACCAAAAUAAACAGAUAAAAAUAUGUACAAUAUAUUUUCAAUAUUUAACAUAUUGAAAAAUUCAAUAUUGCCAGAUGUCCAAUAACCCAUGCUGAUCCCCACAUUAAAUGCAACCUUAAGCAAACACAAAUGUUUUAUCAGUAUUGGAAAAUGGACUCUAAGGCUACUGUGGAGGAAAAGGAUAGAAUAUGAAACAUAAUAUUAAAGGAUAAUUUAAAAUUAACCUAUUUUAAUGCAUUGCUGUAAAGCUUUGGGGAUCCAGAAACUAUAUUACUUGUAAAAGAAUAGGUAAGUAAAGAUGAAAGGAAAAGAAAAUAGCAUGUUAAAAUACAAUCUAAGUUCACUCAACUAAUCUGUAGUAAAGGAACAAAAAUAAGAAUGGAGAAAAAUGUUCUUUUUUUUUUCAACAAAUGGUGAUAAAAUAAUGAUAGCCACAUGGAAAAUGUAAGAAUCUAGAUACAGACUUUAUACCCAAUAAAUAAAAAAUAAGUUGAGAAUGGAUCGCAGACAUCAAUGUAAAAGUAGAAAAUAGAAAAUAUCUUCACAUAAUACAGACCUAAAAAAAUUCCAAACCUUGCACUAAAGAACUAAGUCAUUUUGCAUUUGUAGUUUGAUAUUAAGAAAAAAAAAACAUGUUAAACUGUUGCCACCUCUAUUCAACAUAAUGGUGAAUGGUUUAACUGGAUCAAAUGGAUUAGCUGGACACAUGUAACACAUGUAAAUUGGAAAGGAAGUAAUAAACAAGAUUCCUCAUAAGAUUGUAUAUGGUAAAUUCAGUAGUGCAAAAGAAUAUCAGUACACAAGUUUCAUUUCUAUACAUCAAAAUUGAUAUUUAAGAGUACCAUUGACAUAAUUUCAUUUGAGGCAGCAGUAUGUUAUCCACAGCUUUGAUGGCCAGGCUACCUCGUAAUUAUUCUUGAUUUCAUAGAUGAUAAAUCUGAAAAACUAUAUUGUUUUGCCCUUACUACAAUAGGAACCACUGCAUCCAACCAAUUCUUGAUUCUUGCACUUAAAUAGGUCUUAGCUCAUUCAUACCAGAUUGUAAAUACAAUGGAUGUAUACCAAAAUUAAGGAACACUGUCCCAAUAUAAUGAGAAAUACUAAAAACCCAAAGAGAGCCGGGAAGAUAUCCAUUUGGUAAAGCAUUUGGCAAAAUGCUUUUAAAGCAUGAGGAUCUGAGGGUGAGCCCUGGAACUCAUGUGAAAAUGUCAUGUAUAUUGGAUGUUUGCAGUCACAGUGAUGGAAUGGAAGGAAGAGAAUCCAAAGAGUUUAGUAAUUUGGCAGUCUGGCCUAUUUGGUCAAGUCGAGACUAUCUCAAUGGAGGUGGAUAGCAUUUCUAGUUAAGAAAGUGGAGGCUGUCCUCUGACUUAGAACACAUGAAUAUGCACAAACAUGCACCUACAUAUAUAUCUUUGUAUAUAAAAGAACAAGGCCAUUAUCAAAGAAAUACAAGUCAUGUUCCAGUAACCGACUCCAAAAAACCAGGCACAUUAACUUAGUGACAAUUUAAAAUGAGUUAAGAAUAGCCAACUAAAAGAGAACUGGGAGAGUACAAUCUGAAAAACAAUACAUGAACAAAUGAGUUUCAAUAAAGCUAUAGAAAGCAAAGCCAAAUUCUGGAGGUGAAGAGUACAGUGAAAGGAAAAUUGUAAGACUGGCUCAAAACAAGAUUUUUCAAUUAAAACUGGAAACCUUGACCUUGAAAAGAACACUUGGACCAAAUGGAUUUAACAGAUCUAUAGAACAUUUUAUCUCAAAACAAAAGAAUAUAUCCUCUCAGCACCUCAUGAACCUUCUCCAAAAUUGGCCAAAUAAUCACACACAAAAAGCCUUAAAGAAUCCAAGAACACUGAAGUGAUUCCAUGCAUUCUAUCAGAUCACCACAGACUAAGGCUGGACUGAAAUAACAACAAAAACAAUGAAAAUCCCACAUACUCAUGGAAACUGGAUGCUCUAGUCAAUGAUAACUUGGUCCAGGAAAAAAUUUAAAACUUUCUAGAAUUCAAUGAAAAUGAAAGCAUAGCAUACCCAGACUUAAUGGGACACAAUGAAAGCAGUGUUGAGGACAAUAGCACUAAGCGCCUUCAUAAAGAAACUGAUCCUAUACUAGCAACUUAUAGCACACUUGAAAGCUCUAAAAUGAAAAGAAGUAAACACAUCCAAAGGGAGUAAAUGGCAAUAAAUAGCCAAACUCAAGAUUGAAAUCAACCUAUUAGAAACAAACAAAAUACAAAAACUCAACAAAACCAAGAGCUGGUUCUUUGAAAAACACCAACAAGGUAGAUAAACCCUUAGCCAAACUAUCUAAAGGGAACAGAGCCAGUAUUCAGUUUAACAAAAUCAAAAAUGUAAAGCGAGACAUUGAGGAAAUUGAAAAAAACAUUAGAUCUUACUACAAGAGACUUAACAAAACUGGAAAAUCUAGAUGAAAUGGUUGGCUUUCCAGACAGAUACCAUGUACUAAAGUUAAAUCAAGAUCAGGCAAACUAAAACAAGAACAAACAAACAAAAACCAACCAAACAAACUACAAAAAAAACAGCCCAGCGCCAGAUGGUUUUAGUGCAGAAUUCUACCAACAUUAAAAAAUGAGCUAAUACUAAUACUCAAACUAUCCCACACAAUAGAAACAGAAGGAACACUACCUAAUUCAUUCUGCGAAGGCACAGUUACUCUGACACCUAAAUCACACAAAGACUCAACAAAACUUCAGACCAGUUUUGCUUUUGAAUAUUGACACAAAAAUACACAAUAAAAUUCUUGCAAAUUCAAUCCAUAAACAUAUCAAAGCCAUCAUUUACCAGGAUCAAGUAGGCUUCAUCCCAGGGCUUCAGGAAUGGUUCAAUAUAUGAAAAUCCAUAAACAUCAUCCACCAUAUACACAAACAGAAAAAAAACAUGAUUAUCUCAUUAGAUGCUGAAAAGGCCUUUGAUAUUAAAAUUCUUGGAGAGAGCAGGAAUUCAUGGCACAUAUCUAAACAUAAUAAGAGCAAUAAAUAGCAAACUGACAACCAACAUCAAAUUAAAUGGAGAGAAACUUGAAACAAUCCCACUAAAAUCAGGAACAAGUCUUCCCACUCUCUCCCUGUCUUUAAUAUAGUACUCAAAAGUUCUAGCUAGAGUAGUUAGACAACAAAAGAAUCAAGGGGAUAUAAAUUGGAAAGGAAGAAGUCAAGUUAUUACUAUUUGCAGAGAACUCCUACAGCGGAUAAACAACUUCAGCAAAGUGGCUGGAUAUGAAAUUAACGGAAACAAAUCAGUAACCUUCCUUUAUAUAAAUGAUAGAUGGGCUGAGAAAGAAAUUAGGGAAACAAAACCCUUCACAAUAGCCACACAUAAUAUAUCUUGGUGUAACUUUAACCAAGUGAAAGAUCUGAAUGACAAGAAGGGGAACGGGGAGUGGGAGAGAGGAACCUGAUCUUGUAUUGGGUGAGGGAAAAGGACUGAAGCCCCAAGGGCCAGCAGAAAGAAUGUAAACAGGCAUCCUCAGGAAAUAGGAGGUUGGGGGACCCCCCCCCAGAACGUACCAUUGACCUGGGAGGUGAAAGACUUCCAGGACUCAAAGUGAGGGACCUUAGAUGAAAUGCCUGACAGUAGAUAGAGGGAACUUAUAAACUCCAGCAGGAAGACAGGACAUCAAGUGAGGGAUGGGAUUUCCAUCCCACAGUCACACAUCUGACCCAAAAUCGUUCCUGUCUGAAAGAAUUACAAGGAUGGAAAUGGAGAGGAGCCUGAGGAAAAGAAGGUCCAUUGACAGGCCCAAAGAGGGAUCCAGCUCACGGGGAGAUCCCAAGGCCUGACACUACUACUAAGGCUAUAGAGUGCUCACAACAAGGGAUCUAUUAUGAAUGCUCUCUGAAAGACCCAAAAAAACAGCUGAAAGAAGCAGAUGCAGAUAGUUGCACCCAACCAAUGGAAAGAAGCAGUUGACCCCUGUUGUUGAAUUAGGGAAGGCUGACAGAAGCUGAGGAGAAGGGUGAUCCUGUAGGAGGACCAGCAGUCUCAAUCUGGACCCCUGAGAUAACCCAAACAUUGGACCACCAAACAGGACAUACCAACUGAUAUGAGGUCCCCAACACACAUACAGGAGAAUUCCGGAUCUGUGUUCAUUCAGAGAUGAUGAACUUAAACCUUAAGAGAGUGGAAGCCUCAGGAAAUUGGGGAUGGAUGGGGGGGGGGGGACAAAUAGAAUAUGGAGUGUAAAAAUUAAUUAAAAAUAAUUUUAAAAAGAACUUCAAGUCCCUAAAGAACAAAGAUGAAAAGAUCUCCUCCCAUGCACAUGGACCUGUGGAUUAACAUAAACAUCUUACCAAAAGUAAGCUACUGUUCAAUGCAAUGCCCAUCAAAGUUCUAAUACAGUUCUUCACAGACAUGGAAAGAGUAACUCUCAACAGAGUUACUCAACAUCAUAUGGAAAAACAAAGACCCAGGAUAACAAAAACAGUUCUUAACAGUAAAAGAUCUUCCGGGGAAAAUAAUAAUUCCUGGCCUCAAGCUGUACAAUCAAGCAAUUGUGAUGAAGAUCACGUGGUAUUGGUACAGAGACAGAAGUUGCCCAGUGGAAUAGAAUCGAAGACCCAGAAAUAAACCCACACACCUAUGGACACUUGAUCUUUGAUAAAGAGGGCAUCUGAAAUCAAGAAAAUAGAAAAGUGAAAAGAUCUCCUUGAGGGUUCGUGGAAUGAAAUCAUGAUCAUUAAAUUUCCCAAUUGUAGAGUUUAAAUAGAAGAGACAGAGAAAGAAAAUUCAUUUGAGUACAUAAACUAUUGAGAACCAGGCCAAUCCAAAGCAUUCUCAGAGGCCCUAAUGAAGGAGAAAAGUAAUCUCUUUAUUCCAAACUUUAAUCUAUCCCCUAUUUUUUGAAAACCUGAUCCUCUCUCUCAAGGUUCUGUUACUGAAGGUUUGCCAGCUAGUCCAUGCCAGUAAAUAAUCAUUGAAAAUUCAGAUAUAUGAACAAAAUGGACAUUCAGGUAUAUGAUAGGUUCAAUACAACAAUGUAGACAACACACAUUAAAGAUUGAAAGAUUAAUUCUAUCAGUGCAUUUCUUAGCAUAUAUCAAAGUAUGAAAUUCACUGGUUAAGUAUAGAGGUAAAACAAAACAACCAGCCAAACAAAAGACAGUCACAAACCUCAUUUUAGAUUUAAGAGCAUAUAGACUGAAAAACAAAAUAGAAACUAGCAAUACAUUACACAUGGAAAACAGGAGUGACAAAAUUAUGAAGAUAUAGUCACUAUAUAAUAAUAGAAUCCAUUAAUGGUGAGGUCUAACAUUUGUAACAAUAUCUGUCUUAAAACUUAAAACAUAAACCUGAAAAGAUUAUCCUUUAGCAUUCUCCACUUAUAGUAGUGGAUAACUCAUCUGUACAAAGAAUCACUAGAGAACCAUUUGAGAUAUAUAUCAAUAAAUAAUAAAUAAUCUAAGUUUACAUCUCAUGGAACUAUAAAGGAAAAAACCCUAUCCUACAUGUCAAAGGGAUAAAAAGACAGGCUAGUGCAGGUAUAAAUUAAAGACAAAAAAUUAAUUCACCUUCAAACUCUUUAAUAAUUGAAGAUAGAAUAGUUCUAAACCAAUUAAUCAUUCAGAAAAGGCCAAAGUCAUCAACAGUGUUCCAGUAAAACAAAGUUUCAUGGACUAAUGUCACAUCUACCCCUAUUUUACAAGAGUCUUUUAGCUGUACUACAGAGCAAUUGUGAUAAUUAGUAAUUAUCUUAAGAGAUAAAGAAAUUUUAUGAUAAAAAUGUCAUAUUUAGAGCUGAAAUGUUUUAAUGGAGCACAUGUGUGCAACGCUUACAGUAAAUAUUGAGUAACUGAAUUAUUUUCUUGAACUAAAGUAAGAAAAUGAUACCUAUGGAACGGGUAAUAUGGCUAGUAGAUAAAAGGCAAUUGCUGCCAAGCCUGAUGACCUAAACUGAAUCCUUGGGACUGCUAUGGUAGAAAUGACUUUUUUAAGUUGUCCCUUUAUGAUCACAUGAGUGUAAAGGCAUUUGCACAUGCAAAUGCAUGAACACAAACACAAUAAAUAAAUAAAUAAUUUUUUUUAAGUAAGUUAUUCCCUUUUUUACCAAUUGGAUUCAAGAUAAUGUUGAAAGUUCUAGCUAGAGGAAUUGAGGAUGGGGAGUGAGAUAUAUAAAUAAGAAAGGAAAAAAUAAAAUGUAUAUUUGCAAAUGAUAUAAUUGUACAGAAAAAUGUUAUUGCCUAAAGAAUUAUUACAGUCUUCAAAUCAAAGUUCAAUAUAUAAAACACACAAGAAAUAUCUACAUUUCUUUAUAUUAACAGUAAACUACCCAAAAGGGUAAUUAAGAAAGCUCUUAAGAAAAUAGUACCUCAAAUCAGAAAUAAACAUUGAAUAUAUCAGUUAGUUUGGACAAGAGUAUCAUAACCAUUUAUCAACAAAGGUCUGUUAUUUGAACAAAUAGUUUUGGGGAAAAUGGGUAUUAAGAUUUAGGAAAAUGAAUGUAGCACCUUUAAAUUACAGUAUAUAAAAUUAACUUAAAAGGGAUCAAAAAUAUAAAUGUAAGUAUAAAUUUUGAAGAAAAAUUACAUUAUAUGGGGCAUUAAUUUCAUGAAUAUAACACCAAAGGUAUAGACAACAAAAGACUGAACUUCAUGAUAUGUAGGCAUAAGUUUAACCACAGCAGCAAAAUUUUUGUUUACUAAAAAUAAAUACUUAUGAAAAAAUUGAAGAUGACAGUAAUAGAUGUAUAUUUGUUACCUCUUUGUGGAUCCAAAGACUUUCAGCACAUUCAUGCAGCCCAAAGUAAUGCGCAGAUUGAAAAUGAUUUUAUUCUAGUUUUAUGCUUUCUUUAGAUAAGUAAAAUUCUAUAAACAUAUGAAAUCACAAGAAAAGUUGAAUAGCUGAGCAUUUAUGACAUUAAAAAUAGCUGGAACUAUCACCCACCUUGAUUAACCUACUCACAGGGAAAGACCAAUUGUAAGCAAUGCAGAUCCUUAUAUUGACACAUAGAUGGACAAUUUACCUUUCACACAGGAAUUAUGAAUAAACGAUGAGAACAGAAUACUCAUCAAAAGAUGGUAUGUAAAUCCUGGAUAUGAAAAUGAAAAAAAUUGAAAUUGGUUCUAUUCCAUAAUCAUAUUAACCCAAAGUAUGUUAAAGAUUUAAUUCUAGAUGAGAACUCCUAGAAUAAACUAAUUUUAACAGUGAUCUUAACAAUUACUUUUUAAGAUACAACAUCAAAUGCCUAGAAAUAAAUACAAAGUUGCUGCCUAUCACAGGUUUGGUAGUAUGAAGGGGAAACAAAAAUAAAAAAGAUAACAUACAUAAUGGAAUAAAAUAUUUCCAAACUACAUCUAAUGUGUUAACAUAUAAACUAUAAAAAUAACAAAUAUUUCAAUAGCAAAUGAUAACAAAAAUUAUCUAAAUAUGACUCAGACAAAAGACAGAGUUAACCAUUUUCCAACAUACCCAUACAAAGUAUUAAGAAGAAUACAAGAAGUGCUCAGUAUCACUAUCUGGGGAAUGUAACUCAGAACAAUCAUGAUAAUACCUCAAAUAUUUUAUGAAUUAUUUUUAAAAGUCCAAAAAAUAGUGAAGAUAUGGAAAAAUGAAAAAUCUGAUUCUAUGUUUGAGGUGAAUGUAAAUUGACAUAACAAGAUAUAAAUGUAAUAUAAAAUUGAAUGUAAAUUGGCAUUUGAAAAAAAUUGAAGCACCUAAUACUGUGUCUUUGUGCUCGAGUAGAAUGACAAGUUGUUAUGGUCACCAGCAUUUGUCUCAUACAAGGAACACGCUAAUGUUACAGUUAACUGUAAAGUUCACUGGCUUUAAAAUACACCUAAAUUUAACAACAAAAGAUUGAAGAUAUAAGCUGAGUGAGACAUCUCAUAGAAAGAAUGUACCUUAAAAUCUACCAAUCAUAGUUCAAUCUUUAGAACACACAGAAAAAGAGAGGAACAAAUCCCAAAAUUUGUCAAAUGACCUCUACAUAUGAGCUAUGGCACACAUGCACCCAUAGUCCAAUAUACACACAAUAAUAAUGACAAUGAUAAUAAUAAACAAAAUAAAACAAUUUCAAUUUUAAAAUGAAAAAUAAGUCAUGGAUGGUUUAAUCAAUGUUUAGAUAACUUGUAAUUUUUAUCAUAACAUUAUUCAUAUUAAUCAAGAUAUAAUACUGUGUCAAAAUGGAUACAAUGGAUAAAAUUAACAGAAUGUUUAAUCUCAAAAAAGAAGUCAUUUACUUUGUGACAGUAUGGAUGAACUAAGGUUAAACUGUGAAUUAGAAAGAACAAAUACUUCAUGUUCUCACUAUAUGUGUAAUCUAAAAAUGUUAAACUCUAAAAGCUGAAUAUAAGAUUGGUUAGUAAUUUAGACUUGGGUCUUAAAGAAAACAUUGGUUGAAGGAAUUAUAGUUAUAAGAUGAACAAAUUCAGCAUUGUAAACCUCAUUCUCUACAAUCUAUAUUUAGAACUUGAUGAAUAUAUCUUAAAUACUUGCAGAACACCAAUGUAAAAUCUAUGUGGACUGAUACAGUAGUUUCAUUGUAUUAGUAUAUUUAUAAUCAUAAAGUUUCAGAGCGUGUGAAUAGAUAUUGCAAAUUGUGUCUCAAUACAACUAUUAAAACCUCAAAGCAUCAAGGGGUGAAAAAUAUUCAGCAAUUAAAUUAAUUAAGAUGGAGGAGGGUUAUAUACUUAAAACUACAAAUUAUUGCUAAAGAUAAAUAAAAAUAGUCACCAUUCAUAAAGUUGAAGGUAAUAUAUAAAUACUACACAAAGCAUUUUAUGCCCUCAGGGCAUCCAUAAUGAAUAUCCAAAUGUCUACAGAAAUUAGAAAAAUCCAUCAUAAUAUUCACAACCUUUAGAUAAUUACACAAAACUGUUACAUGAUCAUGGUCUUCAAAUUAAGCACAAACAGUGCUGAGGGACUCCAUUUUCUAACAUCAAAUGGUCUUACCAUGUUACCAUUGAGAAAAGUGAAUGAUAGUAAUUUAAAUAAUUUAAAGAUAGACUUACAGAUCAAUGGAACAUAUUAAAAGAGAGAACUCAGAAAUGAUCCUUGGUGUACAUGACAUUUUACAGUGUUGGCCAGACUAAUUUAAAAAGAAAAAGUCAUCUUGACAAUAUAUAGUGCUGGUAAAACUAGACAUCCUUAUGUAAAAGGGUAAAUGUUGGAUCUUUACUAAAAGCAUAUAUAAAAAUUAAUUCAAGGUCUGUCAAAGACCUAAACAUGACCUGAGAAGUAUAGAAUUCAUGGAACUGGCAGUGACUUCUUAGAUGUGAAACUUGGGGGGAAGAAUAUAGAAAACUCUAUGAGUAUUUUAAAUGUUUGAACAUCAAAACACUAUUUCUCUAUAAAAACCCAACCACAAAGAGUAAAGCAUUUGCAAGUUACAUAUCUGAUAAGUGAUUAAUAUCUGUUAUUUACAGAAAAAUGCAUUACUUAUAUAAGAUCAAUUCAAAGUAGGUAAAAGACCUUGAGAAGUAUCAUAAGAACAAUUAUAAAUGACAUGUAUACACAUAUACUAAUGUGAAUAUCAAUUAUUAAUGAAAUGUACAUCAAAACUCUAAAAACAGGAUCACUGAGAUCGCUCAUCAGGUAAAAGUGCUUGCUGUCAAUUGAUGCAAGACUGACGAUCUAAUUGUCCUUGAAACCUGUAUGAAGGUGGAUGAAGAGAACUGACUCCAUAGUAUUAUCAUCUGAUCUGCAUAUAUACCAUAUGCAAUGUGAACCGCCCCCACAUCUAACUAUAAUUAAAUAUACCUCACAAUCACAUAUCAUUUCAUGAGAGAGAGAGAGAAAGAGAGCAGAGAAGAGCUUCAUCAAGACAUAUUACAAUAAAAAAGUCUAAAAAGAAAAGUGAUAAGUCAUUUAUACUAUUAUGGACUACAGUAGAUUUCAAAGAUGAAAUUCUACAGGCUAUGAGGUGAUGAAGUAAGAUAUUCCAAGUUCAGAAGCAAAGCAAAUUCCAACCAUUAAGUUCAAGGGCAUUGUUAGAAAUGAAGGAGAAAUAAUGCCCAUUUAAAACAAGCAAAAUCUGAGGGAAUCCCUAAGCAAUAGACCAGCAAGCAUUAUAAAACCACAAAAAUGAGAGACAAGAAAAGUACUCAACUAAAAGACAGCAAAAUCAUGAAGACAUCAGUUAUCCAUAAUAACCUUUGAUAUAUAUAAGAUACUUCAAAUUCUGUAGCCAUGGUAGCACACACCUUUAACCGUAGCACUCAGCAGGCAGAAGCAGAUAGAUCUCUAUGAAUUUGAGUUCAGUCUCGUCUACAUAACAAGUUUUAGGACAGCAAGGACUACUUGGAGCAACCUUGCCUACAAUGUGUGAUAUCUACAAAAAAUAUGAGAUGGUACUAUAGACAAAUGGUCAAGAUGAUUAUUUCAAAACUAUAUUUGCUCAUUAUUGGAGCAUAUAGUUUUAUAAAACAACAUCAGACAGAAGCAUAUGUGAGAGUUGUCAUCAUCAUACUGUGUCAAUGCGUUAUCCAGACUCUCCCUUUCAAAAAAGGCAAAAAUCAAUGAAAUCAGACUCCCUUAAAGAAAUACAGAAGAACAAAGGUAAACAUCUAGAAGCCCUGAAAGAGGUAACACAAAACAAUCCAGGAUCUAAAAAUGGAAGUAGAAACAAAGAAGAAAUCACAAAGGGAGACAACCCUGGAGAUUCAAAACCUAGGAAAGUGAUCAGAUGGUGAAAGGCAAAUACAAGAAUCUUACCAACAGAAACCAAGACUACUUGGCAUCAUCAGAACCUAGUACUCCCACAUCAGUGAGUCCUGGAUACCCCAACACACCCAAAAAGCAAGAUUUGGAUUUAAAAUCAUAUCUCAUGAUGCUGGUAGAGGAUUUUUAGAAAGGACAUUAAUAACUCCCUUAAAGAAAUACAGGAGAACACAGCUAGACAGGUAAAAGUCCUUAAGAGGAAACACAAAAAUCCCUUAAAGAUUACAAGAAAACACAACCAAACAGGUGAAUUGAACAGAACCACCCAGGAUCUAAAAAUGGAAGUAGAAACAAUAAGGAAUCACAAAGGGAGACAACACAGUAGAUAGAAAUCCUAGGAAAAAUCAGGAGUCAUAAAUGCAAGCAUAACUAACAGAAUACAAGAGAUGAAAGAAAAUCUCAGAUACAGAAGAUUCCAUAGAAAACAUGGGCACAACAAUCAAAAUGAAAAAUGGAAAAAGAUCCUAACUCAAAACAUCCAGGAAAUCCAGGUCACAAUGAGAAGACCAAACCAAAAGAUAAUAGGUAUAGGUGAGAAUGAAGAUUAUUGACUUAAAGGGCCAGCAAAUAUCUUCAACAAAAUUAUAGAAGAAAACUUCCCAAACCUAAAGAAAGUGAUGCCCAUGAACAUACAAGAAGCUUACAGAACUCCAAAUAGCUUGGACCAGAAAAGAAAUUCUGCCUGACACAUAAUAAUCAAAACACCUAAUGCACAAAACAAAGAAUAUUAAAAGCAUUCAGGGAAAAAGAUCAAGUAACAUAUAAAGGGAGCCCUAUUAGAAUUACACCAGAUUUCUCACCAUAGACUAUGAAAGGCAGAAGAUAUUGGACAGAUGUUAUAGAGAUACUAAGAGAACACAAAUGCCAGCCCAGGCUACUAUACCCAGCAAAACUCUCAAUUACCAUCGAUGAAGAAACAAAGUAUUCCAUGGAAAAACCAAAUUCACACAAUAUCUUUACAUAAAUAUAGCACUUUAAAGAAUAAUAAAGGGAAAACUCCAACUCAAGGAGGGAAACUAUACCCUAGAAAAAGCAAGAAAGUAAUCCUUCAACAAACCUAAAAGAAGAUAGCCAUACGAACAGAAUCCCAACUCUAACAACAAAAAUAACAGGAAGAAACAAUUACUUUUCUUUAAUAUCUUUUAGUAUCAAUGGAUUCAAUUACCCCAAUAAAAAGACAUUGACUAACAGACUGACUACAUAAACUGGACCCAACAUUUUGCUGCUUACAGGAAACCCACCUCAGGGACAAUGAAACUACCUCAAAGUAAAAGGCUGGAAAACAAUUUUCCAAGCAAAUGGUCCCAACAAACAAGCUGAAGUAGCGAUUCUAAUAUUGAAUCGAUUUUCAACCUAAAGCUAUAAAAAAGACAAGGAGGGGCACUUCAUAUUCAUCACAGGAAAAAAAUCUCAAUUCUGAACAUCUAUGCUCCAAAUGCAAGGGCAUCUACAUUAAUUAAAGAAAUUUUAGUAAAGCUCAAAGCACAUAUUACACCUCAAAUAAGUAAUAGUCUGUGACUUGAACACCCUACCCUCAUCAAUGAACAGAUCAUGGAAACACAAACUAAACAGAGACAGAGUGAAACUAACAGAAGUUAUGAAACAAAUGGAUUUAACAGAUAUAUAGAACAUUUCAUCAUAAAACAAAAGGAUAUACCUUCUUAUUAGCACUUCAUGGCACCUUCUCUAAAACUGACCAUAUCAUCAGACACAAAAAUAUUGAAAUAAUUCCAUGCAUCCUAUCAGAUAACCAUGGAUUAAGGCUGCUCUUCAAUAACAACAUAAAUAAUAGAAAGCCAACAUACAUGUGGAAUCUGAACAACACUCUACUCAAUGAUAACUUGGUCAAGGAUGAAAUAAAGAAAGAAAUUAAAGACUUUUAAUGAAAAUGAAGCCACAACAUACCCAAACUUAUGGGACACAAUGAAAGCAGUCCUAAGAGGAGAAGUCAUAGCUCUGCUCUGCGUGCCUCCAAAAAGAUACUGGAGAGAGCAUACACUAGCAGCUUGACAGCACACCUAAAAUCUCUAGAACACAAAAGGGCGCAAAUUCACCCAAGAAAAGUAAAUGGCAGGAAAUAAUGAAACUCAGGGCUAAAAUAAACUAAGUGGAAACGCAAAUAACUAUACAGAGAAUCAACCAAACCAGGAGCUGUUCCUUUCAGAAAAUCAACAAGAUAGAUAAACCAGACUAACUAGGGGACACAGGGACAGUAUCCAAAUGAACAAAUUCAGAAAUGAAAAGGGAGACAUAACAGAAUCUGAGGAAAUAAAAAAGAUCACCAGAUCCUACUAAAAAAGCCUAUACGCAACAAAACUGGAAAACCUGGAGUUGGGCAUGGUGGCACAUGCCUUUAAUCCCAGCAUUUGGGAGGCAGAGGCAUGUGGAUUUCUGAUUUCAAGGCCAGCCUCUUCUACACAGUGAGUUCCAGGACAGCCAGGGCUAUACAGAAAAACCCUGUCCAAAAANNNNNNNNNNNNNNNNNNNNNNNNNNNNNNNNNNNNNNNNNNNNNNNNNNNNNNCAAAAAAAAAAAAAAAAAAAAAAAAAAAAAAAAAGCCCAGGAUCAGAUGAGUUUAGUUCAGAGUGCUAUAAGACCUUCAAAGAAGACCUAAUUCCAAUUCUCCUCAAGCUUUUCCACAAAAUAGAAACAGAAGGUACUCUACCCAAUUUGUUCUAUGAAGCUACAAUUGCUCUGAUACCUAAAUCACACAAAGAACCAACAAAGAAAGAGAACUUCAGACCAACUUCCCUUAUAUAUUUUGAUGUAAAAAUACUCAAUAAGAUUCUCACAAACAGAAUCCAAGAACACAUCAAAAUGAUCAUCCAUCACAAUCAAGUAGGCUUCAUCCCAGGGAUGCAGGGAUGGUUUAAUAUACAGAAAUCUAUCCAUGUAAUGCACUAUAUAAACAAACUCAAAGACAAAAACCACAUGAUCACCUCAUUAGAUGCUGAGAAAGCAUUUGACAAAAUCCAACACCCCUUCAUGAUAAGAUUCUUGGAAAGAUCAAGAAUUCAAGGCCCAUACCUAAACAUAAUAAAAGCAAUAUACAGCAAACCAGAAGUCAACAUCAAACUAACUGGAGAAAAACACAAAGCAAUUCCACUAAAAUCAAGGAGUAGAGAAGGCUGCCCCACUGUCUCCCUACCUUUUCAAUAUAGUACUUGAAGUCCUAGACAGAGCAAUUAGACAACAAAAGGAGAUCAAGGGGAUACAAAUUGGAAGGUAGAAGUCAAAAUAUCACUAUUUGCAGAUGAUAUGAAAGUAUUUAUGUGUGUGUGUGUGAGUAUAUAUAUAAAAAAAAUUUUUACCAGAGAACUAAACCUGAUUAACAACUUCAGUGAAGUAGCUGGAUAUAAAAUUAACUCAAACAAAUCUUUCUCUACACAAAGGAUAAAUGGGCUGAGAAAGAAAUUAGGGAAGCAACACCCUUCACAAUAGUCACAAAUAAUAUAAAAUACCUUGGUGUGACUUUAAGGAAGUGAAAGUUUUGCAUGACAAGAACUUCAGGACACAGCUUCUGGGACAGGCCCUGAUUUGAGCUGCAGACAUCGGGCACCUUCCCUGCCAGAGGAGAGGUGACCACCCAAGAGGCCUCUGACCACCAGAGCAGGUGAGGGAGCCAUCCUGUGUCCGGGUCCCUCUGAGACCAGUCUGCGCAGAUCUUCUCACGGAAUGCAUAGGGUGAGCAACAGGAUUGUAGAAGCGACACAGCUUCUGGGACAGGCAGAAGUGACAUGGCUUCUGGGACAGACCCCGUUUCAGGCUCCAGACAUCUGGGCACCUUCCCCACCAGAAGAGAGGUGACCACCUGGGAGGGCUCUGACUGCUGGAGCAGGUGAGGGAGCCAUCUUGUGUCCUGGGUCCCUUGGAGACCAGUCUGUGCAGGUGAGUACACAGACUACAGAAGCAACACAUCUUCUGGGACAGGCCCUUUUGGGGGCCUUCAUCUUCAGACAGAAGGUAGUUCUGAAUGCCAGACCUCUGUGCACCUUCUCUGCAAGAGGAGAGCUUGCCUGCAGAGAGUACUCUGACCACUGAUACUCAGGAGAGAGCUGGACUGCUGACAGAGGCUAACAGAAUUACAAGAGGAACAGGCUCCAGCCAGAGACAACUAUAACAACACCAGAGAUUACCAGAUGUUGAAAGGCAAACGUAAGAAUCUUACCAACAGAAACCAUGACCAUUCACCAUCAUCAGAACCCAGCACUCCCACCUCAGCCAGUCCUGGAUAUCCCAACACACAUGAACAGAAAGCAAGAUUCAGAUUAAAAGUCAUAUCUCAUGAUGCUAGUAGAGGACCUUAAGAAGGGCAUUAAUAACUCAAAGAAAUACAGGAGAACCCUGCUAAACAGGUAGAAGUCCUUAAAGAAUUACAGGAAAACACUGCUAAACAGGUAGAAGUCCUUAAAGAGGAAACCAAAAAAAUCCCUUAAAGAAUUACAGGAAAACACAACCAAACAGGUGAUAGAAUUGAACAAAACCAUCCAAGACCUAAAAACGGAAGUAGAAACAAUAAAGAAAACCCAAAGUGGGACGACUCUGGAGGUAGAAACCCUAGGAAAGAAAUCAGGAACCAAACAUGUGAGCAUCAGCAACAGAAUACAAGAGAUGGAAGAGAGAAUCUCAGGUGCAGAAGAUUCCAUAGAGAACAUGGGCACAACAAUCAAAGAAAAUGCGAAAAGAUUCUAACUCAAAACAUCCAGGAAUUCCAGGAUACAAUGAGUAGACAAAACCUAGGGAUAAUAGGAGUAGAGGAGAAUGAAGAUUUUCAACUUAAAGGGUCAGCAAAUAUCUUCAACAUAGGCACUGUCAAUAAGACAAAAAGGCCACCAACAGAUUGGGAAAGGAUUUUUACCAAUCCUAAAUCUGAUAGGGGACUAAUAUCCAAUAUAUACAAAGAGGUCAAGAAGCUCAACUUCAGAAAAACAAAUAACCCCAUUAUAAAUGGGGUAUAAAGCUAAACAAAGAAUUCUCAAGUAAGGAAUACCGAAGGGCUGAGAAGCACCUGAAAAAAUGUUCAACAUCCUUAAUCAUUAGUCAAAUGCAAAUCAAAACAACCUUGAGAUUCCACCUCAUACCAGUCAGAAUGUCUAAGAUCAAAAACUCAGGUGACAGUAGAUACUGGCAAAAAUGUGGAGAAAGAGGAACACUCCUCCAUUGCUGGUGGGAUUGCAAGCUUGUACAACCACUCUGGAAGUCAGUCUAGCGGUUCCUCAGAAAAUUGGACAUAGUACUACAUAAAGAUCCAGCAAUACCAGUCCUGGGCAUAUACCCAGAAGAUGCUCCAACUGCUAAUAAAGACACAUGUUCCAUUAUGUUCAUAGAAGCCUUCUUUAUAAUAGGCAGAAGCUGAAAAGAACCCACAUGUCCCUCAACAGAGGAAUUGAUACAGAAAAUGUGGUACAUUUACACAGUGGAGUACUAGGCAGCAAUUAAAAACAAUGAAUUUAUGAAAUUCUUAGGCAAGUGGAUGGAUCUGGAGGAUAUCAUCCUGAGUGAGGUAACCCAGUCACAAAAGUACACACAUGAUAUGCGCUCACUGAUAAGUGGUUAUUUGCCCAGAAACUCAGUAUACCCAAGAUACAAUUUGCAAAGCACAUGAAAGUCAAGAAGAAGGAAGACCAAAGUGUGGAUACUUCGAUCCUUCUUAGAAGGGGGAACAAAAUACCUCUGGAAGGAGUUACAGAGACAAAGUUCUGAGCAGAGACUGAAGGAAGGACCAUCCAGAGACUGCCCCACCUGGGGAUCCAUCCCAUAAACACCUACCAAAUCCAGACACUAUUGUGGAUGUCAACAAGAUUUUGCUGACAGGAGCCUGAUAUAUCUGUCUUCUGUGAGGCUCUGCCAGUGCCUGGCAAAUACAGAAGAGAAUGCUCACAGUCAUCCAUUGGACAGAACACCGGGUCCCCAAUGACGGAACUAGAGAAAGCACCCAAGGAGCUGAAGGGGUCUGCAACCCUAAAGAUGGAACAACAAUAUGAACUAACCAGUACACCCAGAGCUCCCUGGGACUAAACCACCAAUCAAAGAAAACACAUGGUGGGACUCCUGUCUCUAGCUGCAUAUGUAGCAGAGGAUGGACUAGUUGACCAUCAAUGAGAGGAGAGGCCCUUGGUGUUGUGAAGGUUCUAUGCCACAGUAUAGGGGAAUGCCAGGGCCAGGAAGGAGGAGUGGGUGGGUUGGGGAGCAGGGAGAGUGGGGGGAUAGGGAAUUUUCAGAGAGGAAACUAGGAAAGGGGAUACAUUUGAAAUGUAAAUAAAGACAAUAUCUAAUAAAAAGAAUGAUAUCAUAGAAAAGAAAUAAAUUAAAUUAAUCAAAAUCUUAAAAAAAAAGAGAGUGAUGAUUCCCAACUUAAAGGGCCAAUAUAUAUCUUCAACAAAAUUAUAGAAGAAAACUUUCCUAAUGUAAAGAACGAGAUGUUCAUAAACAUAAAAGAAGCCUACAGAACUCCAAAUAGCUUGGGCCAGAAAAGAAAUUCCUUCUGACACAUAAUAGUCAAAACACCAAAUGCACAAAACAAAGAAAGAAUAUUAAAAGCAGUCAGGGAAAAUGUUCAAGUAACAUAUAAAGGCAGACCUAUCAGAAUUACACCAGACUUCUCAUCAGAGACUAUGAAAGCUAGAAGAUCCUGGGCAGAUGUUAUACAGACCCUAAAAGAUCACAAAUGCCAGCCUGGGCUACUAUACCCAACAAAACUCUCAAUUACCAUAUAUGGAGAAAACAAGAUAUUCCACUACAAAACCAAAUUUACAAAAUUUAUUUCCACAAAUCCAGGUCUACAAAGUAUAAUAGAUGGAAAACUCCAACACAAGGAGGGAAACUACACCCUAGAAAAGCAAGUAAGUAAUCCUCUUUCAACAAACCCAAUAGAAGAUAUCCACACAAACAUAAAAAUAAUAUCAAAAGCAACAGCAAGCAACAAUCACUAUUCUUUAAUAUCUUUUAACAUCAAUGGACUCAAUUCCCCAAUAAAAAGACAUAGAUUAACAGACUGGUUACAUAAACAGGACACAGCAUUUUGAUGCAUACAAGAAAUGCACCUCAAUGUCAAAGACAGUCAUUACCUCAGAGUAAAGGGCUGGAAAGUGAUUUUCCAUGCAAAUGGUCCCAAGAAACAAGCUGGAGUAGCCAUCCUAAUAUAGAAUAAAGUCAACUUUCAACCAAAAGUUAUCAAAAAGGAUAAGGAAGGAUACUUCAUACUCAUCAAAGAAAAAUCUACCAAGAAGAACUUUAAAUUCUGAACAUCUAUGCUCCAAAUGCAAGAACACCCACAUUCAAAAAGAAACUUUACUAAAGCUCAAAGCACACAUUGUACCUCACACAAUAAUAGUGGGAUAUUUCAACACCCUACUCUCAUCAAUGGAUAGAUCAUGGAAACACAAACUAAAAAGGGACAGAGUGAAACUAACAGAAGCUAUGAAACAGAUGUAUUUAACAGAUAUCUAUUGAACAUUUCAUCAUAAAACAAGAGGAUAUACCUUUUUCUCAGCACCACAUGGCACCUUCUCCAAAACUGACCAUAUAAUUGGUCACAAAAAAAGGCCUCAACAGAUACAAAAAUAUUGAAAUAAUCCCAUGCUUCCUAUCAGAUCACCACAGACUAAGGCUGGUCUUCAAUAGCAACAAAAACAGAAAGCCCACAUACACGUGGAAGCUGACCAACACCCUACUCAAUGAUAACUUGGCCAAGGAAGAAAUAAAGAAAUUAAAGAAUUUUUAGAACUUAAUGAAAAUGAAGCCACAACAUACCCAGACUUUUGGGACACAAUGAAGGCAGUCCUAAGAGGAAAACUCAUAGCUCUGGGUGCCUCCAAAAAGAAACCAGAGAAAGCAUACACUAGCAGCUUAACAACACACCUGAAAGCUCUAGAACAAAAAGAAGCAAAUACACCCAAGAGAAGUAGAUAGCAGGAAAUAAUGAAACUCAACCAAAUAAAAACAAAAAGAUCUAUACAAAUAAUGAACAAACCAUGAGCGGUUCUUUGCGAAAAUCAAGAUAAACCCUUAGCCAGACUAACCAGAGGAUACGGAGAUAGUAUCCAAAUUAACAAAAUCAGAAAUGAAAAGGGAGACAUAACCACAGAAACCGAGGAAAUUCAAAAAAUCAUCAGAUCCUACCACAAAUCCUAUACUCAACAAAACUGGAAAACCUUGAUGAAAUGGACAAUUUUCUAGACAGAUACCAGGUACCAAUGUUAACUCAGGAUCAGAUAAACCGUCUAUACAGUCUAAUUGUAAUUGGUGGUAAUGUUGCAUAACUAAAGAUCACAAAAUAAUGGGUAAAGAUUCCAUCUAGAAAUCACAUACACAUAAAUUAGACAUUAAUUGAAAGGAAUACUAUACAAUGAAUAGUGUACCAACGAAGGAGAACUAUCUGUGAAUGGGUGAUAUAUUUCUUUUUAAAUAAAUAACUUGAAAUGAUAAGAUGAUUACAUGUAUUUGGAAGAGCCACACAUAAACUCUAAACCAGAAAACUUACAUUUUGUUACUUACAAGAGUUGGGGCUUAUGAAUAUAGAAGGGAUAUGGGAGGAAAAGGCUUCUCUCAGUAGAUUAUUUUGUGUCUUUUUUUGUUUGUUUGUUUUUUGUUUUUUGUUUUUUUGUUUUUUUUUUUUUUGAGACAGGGUUCCUCUGUGGCUCUGGCUGUUCUGGAACUCACUUUGUAGACCAGGCUGGCCCCAAACUCAGAAAUCUGCCUGCCUCUGCCUCCCGAGUGCUGGGAUUAAAGGCGUAUACCACCACACCUGGCAUGUGUCAUUUUUGACUUUUGGAAAUAUAUUGAUAUUUUCAAUAUUUUAAUAACAAACAUGUGGGCAGUUUCAAAAAAACAGUGGGAUAAGAAACACAGGCUAAAGUCUCAGUAGGGUAGCCAUAGUUCUAGGUACUGGGGAAAAGAUUUGUAAGAAUGAUACCUUAGGAGUUCAAGAGCAGUCUGGAUAAUGGCAAACCUCCAUCUCUCUAAACCACUGGCUCUCAAAUUUGAUGUCAUGUCCCCUUUCACAAAGGUCACAUAUCAGAUACCCUGCAUAUCAGAUAUUUACAUUAUGAUUCAUAAUAGUAACAAAAUUACAGUUAUGAAGUAGCAACAAAAAUAAUUUUUAUGACUGGGGAGCACCACAACAUGAACAUCUAUAUUAAAGGGGCACAGCAUUAGGAAUGCUGAGAAUCACCACUCUAUAUGAACAACUAGCAAAUUCUCAUUUUUCUAAAGAAACAAGCAAAUACAGUGUUUAAAUUUUUUACCAUUGUAAAUCUGAACAAGACUGUCAAAAACAGUGAUUUCAGAAAUAUAAAUUAAAGUCACAUAACAAACUGAAGAAAAACAUUAGGGUUGUGGAGCAGAAACAGAGUACUUAUUUCAGUUGUGAGGACCCUAUUUAAUCACAAUUAUUUUUAAAAAAAACUACAAAAGUAAAAUCUGAUAAAUCUCCAUAGAAAUUGCAAGGUCUGUGGAAAUUUAACCUAAGGUUGCCUUUCCCAUACCCAGAUGAGUACAAUAGCCUUGAAGACUAGCAUCUUUUCUUCCAAUGAAGAAGCCUAACCUGAUUUGAACUCUAUUGCCAGUCUCAUUCUUUAUGUCAAAAAAUAGUGUCCUCAAGGCAUUUACUGGUUAAAGCCACUGUUAUAGCAAUCUGAUGCUCUAGCACUGGUUGUUGCACAUAAAUACACACACACAAAAAGAUAGUAAAUUCUUAGAGAUAAGAUGGUCUGUACUCUCAAAAAAAGACCAGAAGUACUCUCCUUAUCUACACUGCUGAUUGUGAGACACUAUACAGACAAGAUGGUAAAACAAAGGACAGUUGUAAAGAGUCCAAAUGUUGAAUGGAAAUCCUAAGGCAAAGCCCUUUCAGGAAAAUUUACCAGCUUGAGAUACUUAAAACAAGGCCUCUGACUAAUGGUGGCUUAAGCUGAUCAAUUAAAGCAUGCUUUAAAAACAAAGACAGUCAUUUUCUAAAGAGCAAACUUGAAGAUAAAUCAGAUACACACAUUGCCGGGAAAUGCAAACACUAUAGAAGCAAAAUUGGCACAGGCAUGGCAGAAACAAGCAAUUGCCCACGUAGAUGGGAAAAAAUUCAAAUGUAGUGUUCCUAAAAAUCAACACAUCAUCCUAAGUGGAGAGGGGGGCUAGAGAGAUUAAAGAUUUGUAAAUAGUAAUGAUCACUGAGAGAACCUAAAUACUAGUUUUAGUAGGUCAAGAUUUCAAAGUAUAAAUAUUCUCACACUAAAAUAAGCCUUGUUUUAAAGAAUAAAAGUAAAACAUUGUGACAAUAACUCAUCAGAUGAAAUGUUAAUAAAGAGAUAUAUUAUAAAGUUGUCAGUACAAAUUACAAUAACUUAAAUGAAAACCUUACUUGUAGAGCCAGAUUGCAAGAUAAGCUGGGAGCAGAGAAAAAGAAUCAGUGAAUUUAAAUAUAGAUAUAUAAAGAUUAUUCAGUUUAAAGGACAGAAAAAAAAGAGUAAGGAAGAACAAUGAACAGAACCUCAGAGAUCUGUUAGCUACCACAAGAGUAGGUGUUACCACGAAUUUAUAUGUAAAUUGCACCAUGCAAUCCUCUGCUCCAUUGAAACAGAUAUGGUGGUAGAUGCUGAUAACCUCAGUAUUCAAGUGGUGGAAAUAAGAAGGUUUAGAAGCUCAAGGUCAUUUUCAGCUGCACAGUGAGUAGUUUAGACCACCCUGGGCUACAGGAGACCCUGUCUAUAAACAAACAAAACAAAUACCAGUGCCUGACAUUGUACUUAAUGGUGGAAGAUGAAAUGCUUUCCCUUCAAAUCAAGAAUAAGUUAACUCAGUAUAAUGGCAUACAAAUAUAAUUCCAUCUCCCCAGAGGAGGGAGAAGAAGAAGAAAGAUAAGUUAGAUGUCAUCUUGGGCUAUAUAGUUGUCUCAAAAAAUAAACCCAGCCACCCACAAUUGAGUCAAGGGGACCUGUUUUAUCACUUUUAUUAAAUAUUGUGUAGAAGUUCUGAUCAGUUAUACAAGGAAAAGAAACAAGUCUGGAAAAAAGUAAAAUUAAAUUUCUAUAUUUAACCAAAAUCCCAAGAUUGUAAAAUAUAAAGCUCAAUCAUAUUUCUAUGUACCAUGAGGGACUAAUGAAAUGAAGAAAACAAUUCAUUUUAUAAUGUAAAAAUGAAUAAAUCACAGGUAUGAAUGUACUUAAUGCCACAAAAAUACAUUUAAAAUUAUUAACUUAUAAAUUAUGUUCUUUUUUUUUUUACAAAACUAAAAGGAACAAAAUUAAUCGAUCUAUUUUUUAAAGUAUACAAACUAUACUCUAUGAAUGACAGGAUACCACUGAAAGUCUAGAUCUAAAUAAAUUGAUAUAUAGCUUGUGUUUAUGAACUGGAAAACUUGAAGUUAAGAUACAUAUGUUCUUCAAGAUGAUGUAGAGACCUGAUCCUUACCAAAAUAUCAGGUGUCUUUUCUAGAAAAUAACAAGCAAUGUUUAAAAUUAUGUAAGACCCAAAUGACCUACAAUAGUUAAAGCAAUCUCCCAAAUCAGUCAAGUUAAAGGGUUCAUACUUUUCAAUAUAUAGAUUUACUAUAAAAUAACAAGGCACUAUGUAAGCAUCACAUCAAACAGACAUACAUAAGAGGGGAUAGAAUUAAUAGUCUAUUAAAUAGUUUAUUAAAUACAGAACCAGAUAGCUAUGGUAAAUGGACUUUUAAUAAAGGUGCCACAGAAAUAAAUGAGGGAAUGAACAGUGUUUUGGAUGGAUUUUUCUUCAACAGCAUGUUAUAUAUGUAAGGGAAAUAAAGUUGAAUGGUUCCCUGCCACUAUAUGUAAAAGCUUAAAAUCAAUCAAAGACUUAAAAAUAGCAAUUAAAUCUUGCAGAAUUCUUACAAAAAAACAUAGAGUCAAAUCUUUGUAACCAAAUGUUUGACGAAAGGUGUUUUGUUUUGCUAUUUUUUUUAUAUAAACCGAAAGUAAAAUAAAGAGCUGAUUCACUGGACUUUAUUAAAAAUUUUUAAAAAUUUAUGCUUGGGGGUAUACUACAAAGAAAGUGGAAGCUGUAGAGAUGGCUCAGCGGUUAAGAAUAUUGGCUGCUCUUCCAGAGGACCAUGGUUGAAUUACUAACACCUAUAUGGCAGCUAAAAUAACUUCAGUUCCAGGGGACCCAAUAACCUUACAAAGAUAUAUAUGCAAGCAAAACAUUAAUACACAUAAAAAGGAAUUAUCAAAAAAUUUAAAGAAAGUAAGAUGGCAAUACAUAGGUGUGAGAAAAUACUCAAAAAUUGUUUGUUGAUAGAAUAUUUGUAGCAGGAUAAAUAUGAUAUAUAUCAAUAUACACACAUAUAUACACACAUAAUUCAAUAUAUACAACACUCAGAACUCGUUGCAAUUCACACACACACACACACACACACACACACACAAUCCCAAUUUAAAAAAUGAAGAAUCUAUGGCCUGUGAACCUUUAAUCUUAGCACUUCAGAGGCAGACAAGAAGAUCUCUAUGAAUUAAAAAAUAGCUCCAGUAAAGACCAUGUCAAUAGAAUGAGAUAGAUAGCUAUAGAGGGGGCAAAAAACUGAGAAAUCAUAUACUUGACUUAGGCUCUGUAUUCAGAACACAAGAAGAACUUCUUAAAACUUAACAUAAAAGGAAGUUCAGUUGAAAAAUUAGUAAACAAUUUAAAUAAACAGUUCACUGAAUGGAAGAAUGUGGAAAAAAUGAUUCAUUAUUAUUAUCCAUUGGCAAAAUACAAAUUUAAACCACAAUAAAACAUUACUGUGCCAGGCAUGGUAGCAUAUGCCUUUAAUCCCAGCACUCUCCUACACAAAGAAACCCUCUCUCAAAAAACCAAAAAAGAAAAUUUACUGCAUGUUUACCAGAAUUGGUAAAAUGAAAAAUACUGUCAAUAUUAAAUGAUCUAUAGUAAUUCCAAAUUAGGAAUAACUUAGAUGUCUGUGGAUGAGUGAGUGGUUAAAAAUGUGGUUUAUACAUACCAUGAAAUUCUACCCAGCAACAAGUCUGAAUUAACUACUGAUAUAUAAAACAACUUGGAUGAACAUCUAGAGAAUUAUGGUAAAUUCUAAAAAUGGUCAAAUUUCAAAAGAUGUGUUUGAUUCUAUUUAUAUAGCAAUCUCAAAAAAGCAGAUCUAUAGAAUCAAGAACAGAUUAGUGAUUACUGGGAAUUAAGGGAUGGUAGGAGGGAAGACGGUGUGGCUAUAAAAGGACAAACAGGGAUCUUUGUGGUAACAAAUAAUAUUCUGUAUCAUUGAACCAGUGUUUCCAUCCUCCUUAAAUUGCACUACAGUUUUGUUACUACUGGGAAAACUAUAUAUGAGUUUUUCAAACUAUAGAUGAUCUCUUUGCAUUAUUUAUUACAAAUGAAUGUGAAUUUCUAAAAUUAGAUUAAAAGCUUGAAUUUUAGAAGUAUGCAAAAGGAAACCAGUAAGAAAGUGGGCAAAGGGGCUUUCUGCUGAGCUUAAUGACUUGAGUUUGAUCCCCAAGACUCAUAUUGUAGAGGGAGAAAAGAAACUCCCACAAGUUUUCCUCCAUUCUCCAUGCAUGUAUUGUGGUAUGAGUGUGCCAUCUCCUUCCCAUAUCUGUGAAAAAAUACAACUGUGCAAAGGAUCUAAAUACAUAUACCAGUAAAGAAGACAUGUAACUGACCAAUAAACACAUACAAAAAUAUUCAAUACCAUUUAUAAAGCACAUCAGGACUGAAAUCAGAUAACAAAAUACUAGGUAGACUUUUUUUUCUCAGCACUUUUUGGAUGGAGUAUUAUAGAUGGAAAAUCAUUUUUGCAGCUAC